UGAUAGCUAGGUUGACUCUGCUAGCUUGCUGAUACACACCAGUAGCUCAAGAUGCGUAGCCUGCUACUGAAAUGCGGCGCUGGUGCACUGAUGUGAAGCAUGGUGUAUAAUCCGGCUGCUGAUCACACCUGAGUAUGCAGUGUUCCUUUUUUCAGGAGAUAGCAUCUCAGUGAUAUUAAUAUAGCUAGAUAAGUUCCCUAUAAUAUGAUGUGGAAACGGCUCCAUUUAAUGUCUAGUUGAUGUACUAUUUGUCUAUCCUAAGCAACAGUUUUGUUGAGCUUAAACUGCUAGUGCUCAGUGGUUUUGUUCUGGUUUUUUUUUGUAAUGAAUGUCCAGUGAAUCAUGCAGUAUGAUUUGCUACUUACAGUGGUGUUGUGCUUGUUCUGCAAUUUUUUGUCAGGGUUCUUCUGCUACUCUACUGCUAUAUUAUGCAUAGUGAAUAAGUGUAACUCUGGUAUUUCCAGUGUAAGGAAUGGCUGUUGUCAUCAUGUCCUUUGAUGUUUUCCCUGUUUUUUUUUUACAUUAAAACAGACUUGGCAAACAUACAAACAUGUUUUUCUUUGUCUUUAGAGAGAGCUAAAUCAAAUUCUAACAAUAUUAGCAGUUGUUUUGACUUUCUAAUACUAUUGUCCUUUUCCCCCACAAGUUUCCUUGUUGCUUUAUCUCAAUUAUUAUGUAGUCUGAUACAACUUCAUGAUAAUUUCCUUUGCAUCACCACAUUUAUAUAUACGAAAUUUGUUAUCGUUUGGCUUUGCUUCGAUUAUGAUAAUCUGCCAGGAUUAGGUGUUUUAGACUAGUCGGUGGUUCGUGCCUUCCCAGAAUAUUUUCUUAAAUUGCUACUCUCUCAGCCCCAUAAUAUAAGAGUGUUUCUGACACUAGUGUAAUGGAGUAACAAACAAGUACUCCCUCCGUCCCAAAAUAAGUGACUCAAAAGUGAGUCAACUUUGUACUAAAGUUAGUACAAAGUUGAGUCAUUUUUGAGUCACUUAUUUUAGGACGAAGGGAGUAUAAUAUUUAUUUGUGUGUUUCAGAAUAUAUAGACUGAAAGCGUGGCAACCAUACGAUAACAUAAUUUGACUCGUCACCAUGCCAAAGCACAAUCUAAACCGAAUCGAGUUUAUUCGCCACAGUUCACAUACAACCGAACAUUAACAAAGUACAUCGCCUCCAAUUCCUCGUUGAUAUUAAAUGAUUCUGAUUGUUGAUUUUACAACCCCAUGCGGUCUGGCCCGGAUGGUGUUGUAAAACUGUGAGUUGGAUCUGACUAUGGAUGAGUAAUGGAAACCCUUUUCCCCCGAGAAAAAGAACACAUAAUAAAGCAUUUUUAAAAUAUUGAAAUAAUUAAGCAUGAACCUGUUGAAGUAAUCAGCAACACUCGAAUUAGUUUAACCGUUUUGCUAAGUCUCAGUCGACAGAGACUUCGUUAAGUCCUAUAGAUGAUACAUCAAGAUCCGUGUAAAAAUUUAUUUCCAGUUGUUUCCUUUUCUCUCUUGCAUAUUAUGUCACUUGACUGAGACUUGUUUAAAUCUCAAUCGACUGAGAUCUAGCCAUACUCUUAGUUUAAUCUAAGGAAACAACAAGGCAUGCAUAUUGCUUAUGGAAUCUGUCAUAAGAGGCAAACUAUACCAUUUUUUCCUUUUUCUUUUUGCUGAAAGGCAAACUAUACAUUCAGCAAGCCGAAGGAAAGUCUAGCAUGUCUUUCUCACUAGCAUAAGCAUGAAAGCAUAAUCUCAAUCUAAACAAGAGGCUGUGUUGAUCGGAGUGACUGCGAACGGUCACAAUCCUGGCAAGUGGCAACAUCAUUGUUGCCCAUAAUGGUCAUGGUCUUGUACUCACGCGUAGUUGAAGAGGUGGUUGGUGUUGUCGUUCAGUCGCCUUGCUGUAGUCCAUUGGUCGUGAUCAGUUGUGUCAAUGUUAGGAGGCUCUCGAAUACCCUAUCAUGACAUGAUCAACUACCCUCUGAUGCAGAUGUUCAACGAAUGUAUCGCGGACUUAGGCCUCCGUGAACUAGAUAGGGUUGGUGCCAGAUUUACCUGGACCAACCGUCAGGCAGACCCGACUCGCUCCGUCUUGGACCAAGUCCUGAUCUCCCCGGAAUGGGAACUGCGAUGCCCCCUAGCGUCGCUUCGCGCGAUUACCCGGAUUGGGUCUGACCAUGUUCCCCUGCUCCUCUCUUCCGAGAACGACCGCCCUCCUCAACCUCCUCGGUUCCGGUUUGAGGAUUUCUGGCUUAACCAGCUCGACUUCGUUGAGGCCGUCAAUAGCCGCUGGGUUGAGGCCCGCGCCGCCGCCCCUCGACCCUUCUCGACGAUUGACACCCUCCACUUCUGGCGCUAAACGCGCCCGUCAGUUUAUGAAGGGCUGGGGCGCGAACCUGGGCCGGGUAGUGCGCGAUCGUAAGAAAGCCAUCUUGGUCGCCAUCCAGGCCCUUGACCUCCGAUCUUACACUUCUGGUAUUUCCCCAGACGAGUGGCUUAUUCGCUACGACCUCGAGGAUAAGCUUGCGGUCAUCUACACGGAUGAGCAGGCGUAUUGGCGCCAACGGGGUACCCAACGAUGGGUCCUUAAGGGCGACGCUAAUAUGGCCUAGCCGCUGCAACACGAUCCCCCUCCUCUCGGACGAAGACUCCCUCCUUCAACACCCGGAUGAGAUCCAUGCCCAUNNNNNNNNNNNNNNNNNNNNNNNNNNNNNNNNNNNNNNNNNNNNNNNNNNNNNNNNNNNNNNNNNNNNNNNNNNNNNNNNNNNNNNNNNNNNNNNNNNNNNNNNNNNNNNNNNNNNNNNNNNNNNNNNNNNNNNNNNNNNNNNNNNNNNNNNNNNNNNNNNNNNNNNNNNNNNNNNNNNNNNNNNNNNNNNNNNNNNNNNNNNNNNNNNNNNNNNNNNCGGAUAUUUGGCAUGACAGAUUCUGCGUCUCGGCUGCGGCCAAUGCUGCCCUAACGGCCCCCCUUCAGUGAGGAGGAGGUCUGGACCGCCAUCAAAGGCAUGAACCUGAAGGAAAUAUGCCCUAGAGGCAAUAAUAAAUUUAUUAUUUAUUUCCUUAUUUCAUGAUAAAUGUUUAUUAUUCAUGCUAGAAUUGUAUUAACUGGAAACUUAGUACAUGUGUGAAUACAUAGACAAAACAUAGUGUCCCUAGUAUGCCUCUACUUGACUAGCUCGUUAAUAAAAGAUGGUUAUGUUUCCUAACCAUAGACAUGUGUUGUCAUUUGAUAAACGAGAUCACAUCAUUAGGAGAAUGAUGUGAUGGACAUGACCCAUCCGUUAGCUUAGCAUUAUGAUUGUCAAAGUUUCAUUGCUACUGCUUUCUUCAUGACUUAUACAUGUUCCUCAGACUAUGAGAUUAUGCAACUCUCGAAUACCGGAGGAACACCUUGUGUACUAUUAAACGUCACAACGUAAAUUGCUGAUUAUAAAGAUGCUCUACAGGUGUCUCCGAAGGUGUUUGUUGGGUUGGCAUAGAUCGAGAUUAGGAUUUGUCACUCCGUGUUUCAGAGAGGUAUCUCCAGGCCCUCUCGAUAAUACUCAUCACUAUAAGCCUUGCAAGCAUUGUGACUAAUGAGUUAGUUGCGGGAUGAAGUAUUACUGAACGAGUAAAGAGACCUGCCGGUAAUAAGAUUGAACUAGGUAUGAUGAUACCGACGAUCGAAUCUCGGGCAAGAAACAUACCGAUGACAAAGGGAACAACGUAUGUUGUUAUGCGGUUUGACCAAUAAAGAUCUUCGUAGAAUAUGUAGGAGCCAAUAUGAUCAUCCAAGUUCCGCUAUUGGUUAUUGACCGGAGAUGUGUCACGGUCAUGUCUACAUAGUUCUCGAACCCGUAGGGUCCGCACGCUUAACGUUUGAUGACGAUAUGUAUUAUGAGUUAUGUGUUUUUGAUGACCAAAGUUUGUUUGGAGUCCCGGAUGAGAUCACAGACGUGACGAGGAGUCUCGAAAUGGCUGAGACAUAAAGGUUGAUAUAUUGGACCAUGUUAUUCGGACACGGAAGUGUUCCGGGAAGUUUCGGGUAAAACCGGAGUGCCGGAGGGGUUACCGGAACCCCCCGGGGGAACUAAUGGGCCACCAUGGGCCUUAGUGGAGAGAGAGGAGGGCAUCCAGGGCAGGCCGUGCGCCCCUCCCUUGGAGUCCGAAUUGGACAAGGGAAGGGGGGGGGCGCCCCCCUUUCCUACUCCCUCUCCCUCUCCUUUCCUUCCCCCUCUUCCUUGAAGUGGAAUCCUACUAGGACUAGGAAGUCCUAGUAGGACUCCUCCUCUUUGGGCGCGCCCCUAAGGCCGACCGGCCCCCUCCCUCCUUUAUAUACGGGGCGGGGGGGGGGGGCACCCUAGGACACACAAGUUUCUCUUAACCGUGUGCGGUGCCCCCCUCCACAAUUACACACCUCGAUCAUACCAUCGUAGUGCUUAGGCGAAGCCCUGCGCCGGUAACAUCAUCAUCACUGUUGCCAGGCCGUCGUGCUGACGGAACUCACCCUCGUCCUCAACUGGAUCAAGAGCACGAGGGACGUCAUUGAGCUGAACAUGUGCUGAACGCGGAGGUGCCGUACAUUCGAUACUUGGAUCGGUUAGAUUACGAAGAAGUUCGACUACAUCAACCGCAUUAUUGAAACGCUUCCGCUUUCGGUCUACGAGGGUAUGUGGACACACUCUCCCCUCUCAUUGCUAUGCAUCACCUAGAUAGAUCUUGCUGAUCGUAGGAUUUUUUUUGAAAUUACCGCGUUCCCCAACACAUCCUACUUGGGCUCCUGUCCUAGGCUGGCGCCCCCCCUUUCCUUCUUUUGGCGAUGAGGGGAAGGAAGGAGCAGGUGGCGCCCCCCCUUUUCCUUUCUCCCACGAAGGGGGAAAGGCAGGAAGAGGUGGCGCCCCCUCCUUUCCUUCCUCUAGGGCCUGCGGCCAGGUAAAGGGUGCACCAGUCCCUUGUGGGAUGUUCUGUCCCUCCCUCGGCCCAUUAAGCCCAUAUCUUUGCCGGGGUUGCCCGAAACUCCUUUUCGGUGACCCGAUAUGUACCCGGUACCCUCCAGAACACUUCUGGUGUCCGAAUACCAUCGUCCUAUAUAUCAAUCUUUACCUAUCAACCAUUUUGAGACUCCUCGUCAUGUCUGUGAUCUCAUCCGGGACUCCAAACAACAUUUGGUCACCAAAUUACAUAACUCAUAUAAUACAAUAUCGUCAUCGAACGUUAAGCGUGCGGACCCUACGGGUUCGAGAACUAUGUAGACAUGACCGAGACACCUCUCCGAUCAAUAACCAAUAGCAAAACCUGGAUGGUCAUAUUGGCUCCCACAUAUUCUACGAAGAUCUUUAUCGGUCGAACCGUUAUGACAACAUACAUUAUUCCCUUUGUCAUCGGUAUGUUACUUGCCCGAGAUUCGAUCAUCGGUAUCUUCAUACCUAGAUCAAUCUUGUUACCGGCAAGUCUCUUUACUCAUUACGUAAUGCAUCAUCCUGUAACUAACUCAUUAGUCACUUUGCUUGCAAGGCUUCUUAUGAUGUGCAUUACCGAGAGGGCCCAGAGAUACCUCUCCGAUACUCGGAGUGACAAAUCCUAAUCUUGAUGUAUGCCAAACCAACAAACAUCUUCGAAGAUACCUGUAGAGCAUCUUUAUAAUCACCCAGUUACGUGUGACGUUUGAUAGCACACAAGGCAUUCCUCCGGUAUCUGGGAGUUGCAUAAUCUCAUAGUCGAAGGAAUAUGUAUUUGACAUGAAGAAAGCAAUAACAAUAAAACUGAACGAUCAUAAUGCUAAGCUAACGAAUGGGUCUUGUCCAUCACAUCAUUCUCCUAAUGAUGUGAUCCCGUUCAUCAAAUGACAACACAUGUCUAUAGUUAGGAAACUUAACCAUCUUUGAUCAACGAGCUAGUCUAUUAGAGGCUUACUAGGGACACAGUGUUAUGUAUAUGUAUCCACACAUGUAUCAAGUUUCCGGUUAAUACAAUUCUAGCAUGAAUAAUAAACAUUUAUCAUGAAUAAGGAAAUAUAAAAUAACAACUUUAUUAUUGCCUCUAGGGCAUAUUUCCUUCAGUCUCCCACUUGCACUAGAGUCAAUAAUCUAGUUCACCUUGCCAUGUGAUUUAACACCAAUAGUUCACAUCUUUAUGUGAUUAACACCCACAGUUCACAUCGCCAUGUGACCGACACCAAAGGGUUUACUAGAGUCAAUAAUCUAGUUCACAUCACUAUGUGAUUAACACCCUAAGAGUACUAAGGUGUGAUCAUGUUUUGCUUGUGAGAGAAGUUUAGUCAACGGGUCUGGCACAUUCAGAUGCGUAUGUAUUUUGCAAAUUUCUAUGUCUACAAUGCUCUGCAUGGAGCUACUCUAGCUAAUCGCUCCCACUUUUUAAUACGUAUCCAGAUUGAGACUCAGAGUCAUCUGGAUCGGUGUAAAACCUUGCAUCGACAUAACUCUUUAUGAUGAACUCUUUAUCACCUCCAUAACCGAGAAAUAUUUCCUUAGUCCUCUAAGGAUAAUUUUGACCGCUGUCUAGUGAUCUAAUUCUGGAUCACUAUUGUACCCCCUUGCCAAACUCAUGGCAAACUACACAACAGGUUUGGUGCACAGCAUGGCAUACUUUAUAGAACCUAUGGCUGAGGCAUAGGGAAUGACUUACAUUCUCUCUCUAUCUUCUACCGUGGUCGGGUUUUGAGUCUUACUCAACUUCACACCUUUCAACAUAGGCAAGAACCCUUUCUUUGACUGAUCCAUUUUGAACUUAUUCAAAAUCUUGUCAAGGUAUGUGCUUUGUGAAAGUUCUAUUAAACAUCGUGAUCUAUCCCUAUAGAUCAUGAUGCCCAAUAUAAAUGUUGCUUCACCGAGGUCUUUCAUUAAAAAAAUCUUAUUCAAGUAUCCUUUUAUGCUAUCCAGAAAUUCUAUAUCAUUUCCAAUGAAUAAUAUGUCAUCCACAUAUAACAUCAGAAAUGCUACAGAGCUCCCACUCACUUUCUUGUAAAUACAAGCUUCUCCGAAAGUCUAUAUAAAACCAUAUGCUUUGAUCACCUCAUCAAAGCGUAUAUUCCAACUCCAAGAUGCUUGCACUAGUCCAUAAAUGGAUCAUUGGAGCUUCCACACUUUGUUAGCAUCUUUAGGGUCGACAAAACCUUCUGGUUGCAUCAUAUACAACUCUUCUUUAAGAAAUCCAUUAAGGAAUAUAGUUUUGACGUCCAUUUUCCAGAUUUCAUAAUUAUAAAGUGCGGGAAUUGCUAACAUGAUUCAGACAGACUUAAGCAUCAGUACGGGUGAGAAAGUCUCAUCGUAGUUAACUCCUUGAACUUGUAGAAAACAUUUUGCGACAAGUCGAGCUUUAUAGACAGUAACAUUACCAUCAGUGUCAGUCUUCUUCUUGAAGAUCCAUUUAUUUUCUAUGGGUCGCCGAUCAUCGGACAAAUCUACCAAAGUCCGCACUUUGUUCUCAUACAUGGAUCCUACCUCAGAUUUCAUGGCCUCAAGCCAUUUAUCGGAAUCUUGGCUCAUCAUAGCUUCUUCAUAGUUCGUAGGUUGGUCAUGGUCAAGUAACAUGACUUCCAGAAUAUGAUUAUGAUGACCCACAAGUAUAGGGGAUCUAUCAUAGUCCUUUUGAUAAGUAAGAGUGUCGAACCCAACAAGGAACAGAAGGAAAUGACAAGGGUUUUCAGUAAGGUUUUCUCUGCAAGCACUGAAAUUGUAGGUAACAGAUAGUUUUGUGAUAAGAUAAAUUGUAACAAGUAACAAGCAAUGAAAGUAAAUAAAGUGCAGCAAGGUGGCCCAAUCCUUUUUGUAGCAAAGGACAAGCCUGGACAAUUUCUUAUAAUGAGAAAAGAGCUCCCGAGGACACAUGGGAAUUAUAGUCAAGCUAGUUUUCAUCACGCUCAUAUGAUUCGCGUUCGGUACUUUGAUAAUUUGAUAUGUGGGUGGACCGGUGCUUGGGUACUGCCCUUACUUGGACAAGCAUCCCACUUAUGACUAACCCCUAUUGCAAGCAUCCACAACUACAAAAGAAGUAUUAAGGUAAACCUAACCACAACAUUAAAUAUAUGGAUCCAAAUUAGCCCCUUACGAAGCAACACAUAAACUAGGGUUUAAGCUUCUUUCACUCUAGCAACCCAUCAUCUACUUAUUACUUCCCAAUGCCUUCCUCUAGGCCCAAAUAAUGGUGAAGUUUCAUGUAGUCGACGUUCACAUAACACCACUAGAGGAAAGACAACAUACAUCUCAUCAAAAUAUCGAACGAAUACCAAAUUCACAUGAUUACUAAUAGCAAGACUUCACCCAUGUCCUCAGGAACAAACGUAACUACUCACAAAGCAUAUUCAUGUUCAUAAUCAGAGGAGUAAUAAUAUGCAUUAAGGAUCUGAACAUAUGAUCUUCCACCAAGUAAACCAAUUAGCAUCAACUACAAGGAGUAAUCAACACUACUAGCAACCCACAGGUACCAAUUUGUGGUUUUGAUACAAGAUUGGAUACAAGAGAUGAACUAGGGUUUUGAGAGGAGAUGGUGCUGGUGAAGAUGUUGAUGGAGAUUGACCCCCUCCCGAUGAGAGGAUCGUUGGUGAUGACGAUGGUGAUGAUUUCCCCCUGCCGGAGGGAAGUUUCCCCGGCAGAACAGCUCUGCCAGAGCCCUAGAUUGGUUCUGCCAAGGUUCUGCCUUGUGGUGGUGGAGUUUCGUCCCGUAAGCUUGCCUCUAAUUUUUUUCCAGGGUAAAAGCCUUCAUAUAGCAGAAGGUGGGCACUGGAGGGCCACCAGGGGGCCGAGGAGACAGGGGGGCGCGCCCAGUAGGGGGGCGCGCCCCCCACCCUCCUGGCCUGGGUGUGGGCCCCCUCUGGUAGUUUCUUCGCUCAAUAAUUCUUAUUAAUUCCAAAAAUAACUUCCGUGGAGUUUCAGGAUUUUUGGAGCUAUGCAAAAUAGGUUUCCAAUAUUUGCUCGUUUUCCAGUCAGAAUUCCAGCUGGCGGCAUCCCCCUCUUCAUGGUAAACCUUGUAAAAUAAGAGAGAAUAGCCAUAAGUAUUGAGAUAUAAUGUGUAAUAACAGCCCAAAAUGCAAUAAAUAUUGAUAUAAAAGCAUGAUGCAAAAUGGACGUAUCAACUCCCCCAAGCUUAGACCUCGCUUGUCCUCAAGCGGAAGCCAAAAUCAAAAAAUAUGUCCACAUGUUUAGAGAUAGAGGUGUCGAUAAAAAUAAAAUACGGACAUGAGGGCAUCAUGAUCAUUCUUAUAACAGCGACAUAUAUAGACUUUGUCAUAUGAUUUCUUAUGCUCAAGUAAUAAUCGAUUCACAAUGUCAAGUAUGGUUCAGAAACUUCAUUAGGAACUAACAAACUAUAGUCUCAGUCAUUGAAGCAAUUGCAAUUUAUCAUAACAUCAGAAAGAUUCAAGAAUAGAGCUUUUCAGCAAGUCCACAUACUCAACUAUUAUGUAGCCUUUUACAAUUGCUAACACUCACGCAGUACUUGUGGUUAUGGAGUUUCAACCGGACACUAAGAAAGAUAGGGGCUUUUUGUGUUGCCUCCCAACGUAUUCACCUUUGGGUGAUGUCAACAAUAAUAGUUCAUGCUAACUUACAUCCAAUUGUAUAUAUAUAUAUAUAUAUAUAUAUAUACAUACAUAUAUCAAGAUCUUUCAAACACGAGGAGCUUGCCAAAGGAUAAAAUGAAAAAGGGAAAGGUGAAGAUCACCUUGACUCAAGCAUAAAGUAAAAACAUAAAGUAAAAGAUAGACCCUUCGCAGAGGGAAGCAGAGGUUGUCAUGUGCUUUUAAGGUUGGAUACACAAAAUCUUAAUGCAAAAGAACGUCACUUUAUAUUGCCACUUGUAUGUGGACCUUUAUUAUGCAGUUCGUCGCUUUUAUUGCUUCCAUAACAAGAUCGUAUAAAGCUUAUUUUCUCUGCACUAAUAAGUCAUACAUAUUUAGAGAGCAAUUUUAUUGCCUGCAGCAUGACAACUUACUUGAAGGAUCUUACUCAAUCCAUAGGUAGGUAUGGUGGACUCUCAUGGCAAAACUGGUUUAAGGAUAUUUGGAAGCACAAGUAGUAUCUCUACUUGGUGCAAGGAAUUUGGCUAGCAUGAGGGGGAAAGGCAAGCUCAACAUGUUGGAAAGAACAAUGACAAUACACUUUAACUAAGAUGUGAGAAAACAUAAACCAUUACGUUGUCUUCCUUGUCCAACAUCAACUCUUUUAGCAUGUCAUACUUAAUGAGUGCUUCACAAUCAUAAAAUAUGUCCAAGAUAGUAUAUUUGUAUGUGAAACCUCUCUUUCCUUAUUACUUCCUAUUAAUUGCAAUGAUGACCAAAACUACGUUUGUCAACUCUCAACAACUUUUGUGCCUCAUACUUUCUAUGUGUGAAGUCAUUACUAUCCAUAAGAUCAAUAUGAACUCUUUUAUUCUUUUUAUUCUUUCUACUUUCUCAAGAUCAUAGUAAGAUAACAAAGCCCUUGACUCAACACUAAUCUUUAUUAUAGAUAGCUCACGGACUCGAUUACAUAAAGAAAUCACAAAGCAAAACUCAAAAAUACUUGAUACUAAAAUUUCAAUCUACUAGAUCAAGAUACUACUUAAAAGGAUCGAACUAAAUAAAACGGUAAAGAUAGGAGUGUGAUAGUGAUACGAUACCGGGGCACCUCCCCCAAGCUUGGCAGUUGCCAAGGGGAGUGCCCAUACCCAUGUGAUUAUGUCCUCAGAGGUGGUGAAGUAGGAGUUGUUGAUGAUGUAGGCUUGUCGUCCAUCUUCCAAGGCAUAGGCUCACCAUCAUAGAAGGAUGAUCGAGUCUCCGGGAUCCUUAAAUCUGCAACCAAACUCAUCCUCUUGAAUCUAUAUUCAUACUCACAGUUUUGGUUUUGCAGGUCAUAUAUCUGGGCUUGGAGGUGCUCGGUUUUCUCUUGAAGCUUGAAGAUGGUCUCCCCAAUGACCUUGGCAUCUAGCUUGUGGUUGUUGGUGAACUCCGUGAUCAUCAUCUGGUCAGCGUUGAGUCCAUGCUCCACCAUCCCUUGGCACUUGAAGACUUGUUGCUUCAUGGCUUCGAGCUUUGUCUCCAUGCUUCCGGUACGCCUUGGUCCCUCCACAUCGGGGAUGUGCAGCACCCCCUCACGCAUCUCAAUGGUUUGAGGGUGUUGCAGCACCUCCGCGAGAUAGGGGUUGAUAACCCUCUCGAAAAACUAGUCCUUGGGAGCGCUUGGAGACGUCAUGAUGCUCUAGAUCUGUCAGAAAAACAGCCCGAAACGAAAACAGAGGAUAUUUGCGUGAUACGGUGGUCAAAGCCUUCGGGAGAUUAUAUAAUGAAUUUUUACCGACCAAAAUACGUAACGUGCAAGAAAACAGAGUCCGAGAGGCACACGAGGUGGCCACGGGACAGGGGGGCGCACCCAGGAAGCGUGGGCGCGCCCUCCACCCUCAUGGAGGCCUCGUGUCCUUCCCGGACUACUUCUUUCUUUCCAAAAUUCUUAAAUAUUCCAAAAUGGAUAAAAAUUGCCAUUAGAAUUGUUUUGGAGUCGGUUUACUUACCGUACCACAUACCUAUUCCUUUUCAUAGUCUGGAACGUUCUGGAAAGUGUCCCUUAUGUAUUCCUCCCGGGUUACGGUUUCAAUAAUAUUAGUUUCAACAUUGAUAGGAUUACCUGAGAUAUAAUGUUUAAUUCUUUGACCGUUCACCAUUGCUACCUCUCGAGCACUGCGUUGGAUUUCCCCGAAGAGGAGAGGAUGAUGCAGCAAAGUAGCGUAAGUAUUUCCCUCAGUUUUUGAGAACCAAGGUAUCAAUCCUGUAGGAGACCACGCACAAGUCCCUCGUACCUACGCAAAACGAUAGCUACUCGCAACCAACGCGAUUAGGGGUUGUCAAUCCCUUCACGGUCACUUACGAGAGUGAGAUCUGAUAGAGAUGAUAAAUAAUAUUUUUGGUAUUUUUGAUAGAUAGAUGCAAAGUAAAAAGUAAAAGGCAAAGUAAAAACAAAGCAAGUAAAUAAAGUGAUAGAGAUUGAUAUGAUGAGAAUAGACCCAGGGGCCAUAGGUUUCACUAGUGGCUUCUCUCAAGAGCAUAGAUAUUCUACGGUGGGUGAACAAAUUACUGUUGAGAAAUUGACAGAAUUGAGCAUAGUUAUGAGUAUAUCUAGGCAAUGAUCAUGUAUAUAGGCAUCACGUCCGAGACAAGUUGAUCGAAAUGAUUCUGCAUCUACUACUAUUACUCCACUCAUCGACCGCUAUCCAGCAUGCAUCUAGAGUAUUAAGUUAAAAACAGAGUAACGCUUUAAGCAAGAUGACAUGAUGUAGAGGGAUAAAUUCAUGCAAUAUGAUAAAAAAACCCAUCUUGUUAUCCUCGAUGGCGACAAUACAAUACAUGCCUUGCAACCCUUUUUGUCACUGGGUAAGGACACCGCAAGAUUGAACCCAAAGCUAAGCACUUCUCCCAUUGCAAGAACUACCAAUCUAGUUGGCCAAACCAAAAAGGAUAAUUCGAAGAGACUUGCAAAGAUAACUCAAUCAUACAUAAAAGAAUUUAGAGAAGAAUCAAAUAUUUUCCAUAGAUAAUACUGGAUCAUAAACCCACAAUUCAUCGGUCUCAACAAACACACCGCAAAAAGAAGAUUACAUCGAAUAGAUCUCCACAAGAGAGGGGGAGAACAUUGUAUUGAGAUCUAAAAAGAGAGAAGAAGCCAUCUAGCUACUAGCUAUGGACCCGAAGGUCUGAAGUAAACUACUCACACUUCAUCGGAGGGGCUAUGGUGUUGAUGUAGAAGCCCUCCAUGGUGACUGUCCCCUCCGGCGGAGCUCCGGAACAGGCCCCAAGAUGGGAUCUCAUGGAUACAGAAGGUUGCGGUGGUGGAAUUAGGUUUUUGGCUCUUGUUCUGAUCGUUCGGGGAUACGUAGGUAUAUAUAGGAGGAAGGAGUACGUCGGUGGAGCAACAAGGGGCCCACGAGGUAGGGGGCGCGCCUAGGGGGGCGCUCUCCACCCUCGUGACCGCCUCUGGCACUUCUUGGAGUAGGGUCCAAGUCUCCUGGAUCACGUUCGGUGAGAAAAUCACGUUCCCGAAGGUUUUAUUCCGUUUGGACUCCGUUUGAUAUUCUGUUUCUUCGAAACACUGAAAUAGGCAAAAAACAACAAUUCUGGGCUAGGCCUCCGGUUAAUAGGUUAGUCCCAAAAAUAAUAUAAAAGUGGAAAAUAAAGCCCAAUAUAGUCCAAAACAGUAGAUAAAGUAGCAUGGAGCAAUCAAAAAUUAUAGAUACGUUGGAGACGUAUUAGGCAUCCCCAAGCUUAAUUCCUGCUCGUCCUCGAGUAGGUAAAUGAUAAAAAAAGAAUUUUUGAUGCGGAGUGAUAAUUUGGCAUAAUUUCAAUGUAAAAUCUUCUUAAUUGUGAUAUGAAUAUUCAGAUCCGAAAGAUUCAAGACAGAAGUUCAUAUUGACAUAAAAAUAAUAAUACUUCAAGCAUACUAAUCAAAGCAAUCAUGUCUUCUCAAAAUAACAUGGCCAAAGAAAGUUAUCCCUACAAAAUCAUAUAGUCUGGCUAUGCUCCAUCUUCCCCACAUAAAAUAUUUAAAUCAUGCACAACCCCGAUGACAAGCCAAGCAAUUGUUUCAUACUUAUGACAUUCUCAAAACUUUUUCAAUCUUCACGCAAUACAUGAGCGUGAGCCAUGGAUAUAUCACUAUGUGGAAUAGAAUGGUGGUUGUGGAGAAGACAAAAAGAGGGAAGAUAGUCUCACAUCAACUAGGCGUAUCAACGGGCUAUGGAGAUGCCCAUCAAUAGAUAUCAAUGUGAGUGAGUAGGGAUUGCCAUGCAACAGAUGCACUAGAGCUAUAAGUAUACGAAAGCUCUACAAAAGAAACUAAGUGGGUGUGCAUCCAACUUGCUUGCUCACGAAGACCUAGGGCAUUUUGAGGAAGCCCAUCAUUGGAAUAUACAAGCCAAGUUCUAUAAUGAAAAAUUCCCACUAGUAUAUGAAAGUGACAAAAGGAGAGACUCUCUAUCAUGAAGAUCUUGGUGCUACUUUGAGGCACAAGUGUGGUAAAAGGAUAGUAGCAUUGUCCGUUCUCUCUUUUUCUCUCUUUUUUUUGUUUGGGCCUUUCUCUUUUUUUUGGCCCCCCUUUUUUUUCAUCCGGAGUCUCAUCCCGACUUAUGGGGGAAUCAUAGUCUCCAUCAUCCUUUCCUCACUUGGGACAAUGCUCUAAUAAUGAUGAUCAUCACACUUUUAUUUUUCUUACAACUCAACAAUUACAACUCGAUACUUAGAACAAAGUAUGACUUUAUAUGAAUGCCUCCAGCGGUGUAUCGGGAUAUGCAAUGAAUCAUGAGUGACAUGUAUGAAAGAAUUAUGAAUGGUGGCCUUGCCACAAAUACGAUGUCAACUACAUGAUCAUGCUAGCAAUAUGACAAUGAUGGAGCGUGUCAUAAUAAACGGAACGGUGGAAAGUUGCAUGGCAAUAUUAUCUCGGAAUGGCUAUGGAAAUGCCAUGAUAGGUAGGUAUGGUGGCUGUUUUGAGGAAGGUAUAUGGUGGGUGUAUGAUACCGGCGAAAAGUGCGUGGUAUUAGCGAGGCUAGCAAAGGUGGAAGGAUGGGAAAAGUGCGUAUAAUCCAUGGACUCAACAUUAGUCAUAAAGAACUCAUAUACUUGUUGCAAAAAUCUAGAAGUUAUCAAAGCAAAGUAUUACGCGCAUGCUCCUAGGGGGAUAGAUUGGUAGGAAAAGACCAUCGCUCGUCCCAGACCGCCACUCAUAAGGAAGACAAUCAAUAAAUAAAUCAUGCUCCGAGUUCAUCACAUAACGGUUCACCAUACGUGCAUGCUAUGGGAAUCACAAACUUCAACCCAAGUAUUCUUUGAAUUCACAACUACUUUAACUAGCAUGACUCUAAUAUCACCAUCUUCAUAUCUCAAAACAAUUAUCAAGCAUCAAACUUAUCUUAGUAUUCAACGCACUCAAAAGAAAGUUUCACAUAUCUUGAACACCAAGUAUAUUAACAUUAAGCGAAUUACCAUGCUAUUAACGACUCUCAAAAUAAUCUAAGUGAAGCAUGAUAGAUCAAUAGUUUCUUUAAAACAAAUCCACCACCGUGCUCUAAAGGAUAUAAGUGAAGCACUAGAGCAACAAUUACCACGCUCAAAAGAUAUAAGUGAAGCACUAUGAGCAAAACUAUCAAGCUCAAAAGAUAUAAGUGAAGCACAUAGAGUAUUCUAACAAAUUCCAAUUCAUGUAUGGCUCUCUCAAAAGAUGUGUACAACAAGGAUGAUUGUGGUAAACUAACAAGCAAAGACGCUCCAAGCAAAACACAUAUCAUGUGGUGAAUAAAAAUAUAGCUCCAAGUAAAUUACCGAUGGAAGUGGACGAAAGAGGGGAUGCCUUCCGGGGCAUCCCCAAUCUUUGACUUUUUGGUGUCCUUGGAUUAUCUUGGGGGUUCCAUGGGCAUACCCAAGCUUAGGCUCUUUCCACUCCUUGUUCCAUAAUCCAUCAAAAGAAUUCACCCAAAACUUGAAAACUUCACAACACAAAACUCAACAGAAAUCUCGUGAGCUCCGUUAGAGAAAGAAAACAAAGAACUACUUAAGGUACAGUAAUGAACUCAUUAUUUAUUUAUAUUGGUGUUAAAACUACUUUAUUCCAACUUCUCUAUGGAUUAUAAACUAUUUUACUAGCCAUUGAUUCAUCAAAAUAAGCAAACAACACCCGUAAAACAGAAUCUGUCAAAAACAGAACAGUCUGUAUCAAUCUGUAACUAACGCAAACUUCUGGAACUCUAAAAAUUCUACCAAAAUAGGAGGUCCUUGACAAAUUGUUUAUUGAACAGCAGCAAAAAGAAGCAACGCAAAAUCACGUUCCUGUGAUUUAACAAAAUUAUAUUCGUGCGUGCAAAGUUUCUGUUUUUCAGCAGAAUCAAAUCAACUAUCAUCGUAGGUUAUCCUAUAGGUUCUACUUGGUACAAACACUAAUUAAAAGACAAAACCACAUCCAAACAGAGGCUAUAUGGAUUAUUUAUUCCUAAACAGAAGCAAAAACAAAAAACACAAAAAUAAAAUUGGGUUGCCUCCCAACAAGCGCUAUCGUUUAACGGCCCUAGCUAGGCAUAAAAGCAAGGAUAGAUCUAGGUAUUGCCAUCUUUGGUAGGCAAUUCUUUGAUGAGGUAUCUACCCCUUUUAGAAUUUUCUUUCCCUCUAGUAAUUAUCAAAUUUUCAGGCAAAAGAUCGAAAAAUUCAUGUAUAGCAAAUGGUUCCUUGAUGAUGGUAAAAAGAUUGGGAUGAACACUUAUAGAUUUAAGAUCCGCAGUUUCCUUACUAGAUGAUUCUCCCUUAUUAUUAGGAACAUAAAUAAGCUUAGUUUUUUGAGUAUAAGAACUUGGAGUGUUUUGAACGGAAGAAAAAACGGUUCCCAAGUUGGUAAUGAUACCCUCAAGUUUAUCGAUUCUUGUGGAAUCUAGAUUUAUUUUCUCAUUAACUAUGGGUUCUUUUUCUUUAAUAUUUUUCAAAGUCAUUCCUACCUUAGAUCCAUAUUGGGUAAUUUGAUUGUGGAUCUUUUUAUCAAGAUUUUCAAUUGAUUCAAUGGUAGCAACUUUAUUCUCAAUAAUUUCAAGUCUUUGCAUAACAUGCUCCAAAGUUAACGUAGUUCCAUUAACCAAACGGGGUGGCGAGCCAAAUAUAUCUACUAAAGCAUUAUAAGAAUCAAAAGUAUGGCUACCCAAUAAGUUCCCUCUGGUAAUGGUAUCAAGGAUAUAUCUAUACCAAGGAUUAGCACCUACGUAGAAAUUACGAAGAAGAACUGAAGUAGAUUGCUUCCUGGUAGAUCUAUUUUGAGCAUUGCAAAUUCUAUACCAAGCAUCUUUUAGAUUUUCUCCCUCCCUUUGUUUAAAAUUUAGAACUUCAUUCUCGGGAGAUAGCGGAGAAGAUAUGAGACUAGUCAUGACGACAAGCAAGCAAACUAGCACACGAGCAAACAGAAAGGCAACGAGAAAAGGCAAACAGGAAAGAGAAGAGGAGAUUGGGAAAGAGAGGGCGAAUAAAACGGCAAGGGUGAAGUGGGGGAGAGGAAAACAAGAGGCAAAUGGCAAAUAAUGUAAUGCGAGAGAUAGGGAUUGCGAUGGGUACUUGGUAUUGUUGACUUGCUUGCGUGAGCCUCCCCGGCAACAGCGCCAGAAAUUCUUCUUGCUACCUCUCGAGCACUGCGUUGGAUUCCCCCGAAGAGGAGAGGAUGAUGCAGAAAAGUAGCGUAAGUAUUUCCCUCAGUUUUUGAGAACCAAGGUAUCAAUCUAGUAGGAGACCACGCACAAGUCCCUCGUACCUACACAAAACGAUAGCUACUCGCAACCAACGCAAUUAGGGGUUGUCAAUCCCUUCACGGUCACUUACGAGAGUGAGAUCUGAUAGAGAUGAUAAAUAAUAUUUUUGGUAUUUUUGAUAGAUAGAUGCAAAGUAAAAAGUAAAAGGCAAAGUAAAAACAAAGCAAGUAAAUAAAGUGAUAGAGAUUGAUAUGAUGAGAAUAGACCCAGGGGCCAUAUAUUUCACUAGUGGCUUCUCUCAAGAGCAUAGAUAUUCUACGGUGGGUGAACAAAUUACUGUUGAGCAAUUGACAGAAUUGAGCAUAGUUAUGAGUAUAUCUAGGCAAUGAUCAUGUAUAUAGGCAUCACGUCCGAGACAAGUUGAUCGAAACGAUUCUGCAUCUACUACUAUUACUCCACUCAUCGACCGCUAUCCAGCAUGCAUCUAGAGUAUUAAGUUAAAAACAGAGUAAUGCUUUAAGCAAGAUGACAUGAUGUAGAGGGAUAAAUUCAUGCAAUAUGAUAAAAAAACCAUCUUGUUAUCCUCGAUGGCAACAAUACAAUACGUGCCUUGCAACCCUUUCUGUCACUGGGUAAGGACACCGCAAGAUUGAACCCAAAGCUAAGCACUUCUCCCAUUGCAAGAACUACCAAUCUAGUUGGCCAAACCAAAAAGGAUAAUUCGAAGAGACUUGCAAAGAUAACUCAAUCAUACAUAAAAGAAUUCAGAGAAGAAUCAAAUAUUUUCCAUAGAUAAUACUGGAUCAUAAACCCACAAUUCAUCGGUCUCAACAAACACACCGCAAAAAGAAGAUUACAUCGAAUAGAUCUCCACAAGAGAGGGGGAGAACAUUGUAUUGAGAUCCAAAAAGAGAGAAGAAGCCAUCUAGCUACUAGCUAUGGACCCGAAGGUCUGAAGUAAACUACUCACACUUCAUCGGAGGGGCUAUGGUGUUGAUGUAGAAGCCCUCCAUGGUGGAUGCCCCCUCCGGCGGAGCUCCGGAACAGGCCCAAAGAUGGGAUCUAGUGGAUACAGAAGGUUGCAGUGGUGGAAUUAGGUUUUUGGCUCUUGUUCUGAUCGUUCGGGCAUACGUAGGUAUAUAUAGGAGGAAGGAGUACGUCGGUGGAGCAACAGGGGGCCCACGAGGUAGGGGGGCGCGCCCAGGGGGGCAUCUCCACCCUUGUGACCGCCUCUGGCACUUCUUGGAGUAGGGUCCAAGUCUCCUGGAUCACGUUCGGUGAGAAAAUCAUGUUCCCAAAGGUUUUAUUCCGUUUGGACUCCGUUUGAUAUCCUGUUUCUUCAAAACACUGAAAUAGGCAAAAAAAAAACAAUUCUGGGCUGGGCCUCCUGUUAAUAGGUUAGUCCCAAAAAUAAUAUAAAAGUGGAAAAUAAAGCCCAAUAUAGUCCAAAACAGUAGAUAAAGUAGCAUGGAGCAAUAAAAAAAUAUAGAUACGUUGGAGACGUAUCAACCACCCUCGGACUUGUGCCUUUGAAGUUGUUGAUUUUUAUGGCACCAGAACGAUAGACCUCCUCGAUAACGGAAGGACCUUCCCAUUUAGAGAGAAGUUUUCCUGCAAAAAAUCUUAAACGAGAGUUGAAUAAUAACACAUAAUCACCUACGUUAAACUCACGCUUUUGUAUCCUUUUGUCAUGCCAGCGUUUGACUUUUUCUUUGAAUAGCUUGGCAUUCUCAUAGUCUUUGGUUCUCCAUUCAUCAAGUGAGCUAAUAUCAAAUAACCUCUUCUCACCGGCAAGUUUGAAGUCAUAGUUGACCUCUUUAAUAGCCCAAUAUGCUUUAUGUUCAAGUUCAAGAGGUAAGUGACAAGCUUUUCCAUAAACCAUCUUAUACGGAGACAUACCCAUAGGAUUUUUGUAUGCAGUUCUAUAGGCCCAUAAUGCAUCAUAAAGUUUCUUGGACCAAUUCUUUCUAGAUCUAUCGACAGUCUUUUGCAAAAUUAAUUUGAGCUCUAUAUUACUCAACUCUACUUGACCACUAGACUGCGGGUGAUAAAGAGAAGCGAUUCUAUGUUUAACAUCGUACUUAGCAAGCAUCUUACGGAAAGCACCAUGAAUAAAAUGUGAACCACCAUCAGUCAUAAGAUAUCUAGGGACUCCAAACCUCGGAAAAAUACCUUCUUUAAGCAUCUUAAUAGAAGUGUUAUGAUCAGCACUACUAGUUGGAAUAGCUUCUACCCACUUAGUAACGUAAUCAACAGCAACUAAGAUAUGUGUAUAACCAUUAGAGGCAGGAAAAGGUCCCAUAUAAUAAAAGCCCCAAACAUCAAACGGUUCAAUAACAAGAGAAUAAUUCAUAUGCAUUUCUUGACGCCUACUAAUAUUACCAAUUCUUUGACAUUCAUCGCAAGAUAAGACAAACUUACGAGCAUCUUUGAAGAGAGUAGGCCAAUAAAAACCGGAUUGCAAUACCUUAUGUGCAGUUCUGUCUCCCGCGUGGUGUCCUCCAUAGGAUUCAGAGUGACACUUGCAUAGGAUUUGUUCCUGUUCAUGCUCAGGUACACAAUGUCUAAUAACACCAUCCACUCCUUCUUUAUAAAGGUGUGGGUCAUCCCAGAAUUAAUGUCUUAAAUCGUAAAAGAACUUUUUCUUUUGUUGGUAUGUGAAACUAGGUGGUAUAAAUUUAGCAACAAUGUAAUUAGCAUAAUCGGCAUACCAAGGAUCAGUACGAGAAGCAUUAAUGACCGCUAGUUGUUCAUCAGGAAAGCUAUCAUCAAUAGGCAGUGGGUCAUCAAGAACAUUCUCUAACCUACACAAGUUGUCUGCAACAGGGUUCUCAGCUCCCUUUCUAUCAAUAAUAUUCAAAUCAAAUUCUUGGAGCAAGAGAACCCAUCUAAUAAGUCUAGACUUAGCAUAUUUAUUUUCCAUAAGAUAUUUAAUAGCAGCAUGAUCAGUGUGAAUAGUAACUUUGGAAUCAACAAUAUAAGGCCUAAACUUAUCACAUGCAAACACGACUGCUAAGAACUCUUUUUCAGUAGUAGCAUAAUUUCUUUGGGCAGUAUCAAGAGUCUUACUAGCAUAUUGGAUAACAUUCAAUUUCUUAUCAACUCUUUGCCCUAGAACAACACCUACAGCAUAAUCACUAGCAUCACACAUAAUUUCAAAGGGUAAAUUCCAAUCAGGUGGCUGAACAAUAGGUGCAGUGAUCAAAGCUUUCUUAAUUAUUUCAAAUGCUUCUACACAAUCAUCAUCAAAAACAAAAGGAAUAUCAUUUUGCAAUAAAUUAGUCAGAGGCCUAGAGAUUUUAGAAAAGUCCUUAGUGAACCUCCUAUAAAAACCGGCAUGACCAAGGAAACUUCUUAUACCUUUUAUGUCCUUGGGACAUGGCAUCUUUUCAAUAGCAUCAAGUUUGGCUUUAUCAACUUCAAUACCUCUCUCGGAAAUUUUAUGCCCCAAGACAAUGCCUUCAUUAACCAUAAAGUGGCACUUUUCCCAAUUCAAGACGAGACUAGUGUCUUCGCAUCUCUACAGAACUCGAUCAAGGUUUCUCAAGCAAUCAUUAAAAGAUGAUCCAUAAACAGAGAAAUCAUCCAUGAAUACCUCACAAAUCUUUUCACAUAAAUCAAAAGGAAUACGUCUAUAAGAAAAAGUACCGAAAGGGCAAGUAAAAGUAGUUUUUGAUUGAUCCUUUGCUGACACAGGUAUUUGAGAGAAGGCAGAAUAACCAUCUAGAAAGCAGAAAUGUGUGUGUUUGGAUAGUCUUUAUAGCAUUUGAUCAAUAAAAGGUAAAGGGCAAUGAUCUUUCUUAGUAGCUUUAUUUAAUUUACGGAAAUCAAUUACCAUCCUAUAACCUGUAAUAAUUCUUUGCGGGAUCAAUUCAUAUUUAUCAUUAGGAACGACAGUAAUACCUCCCUUUUUAGGAACACAAUGGGCAGGGCUUACCCAAUCACUAUUAGCAACGGGAUAAAUUAUACCUGCCUCUAGGAGCUUUAAUAUCUCCUUUCUUACCACUUGUUUCAUCUUAGGAUUCAAUUGUUGUUGAGGAUCUCUAACUGGUUUGGCAUCGUCCUCCAAAUUAAUUUUGUGUUGGCAUAACGUGGGACUAAUGCCCUUGAGAUCAUCCAGAGUAUAUCCAAUAGCAGCAUGGUGCUUCUUCAGAGUUUUCAAUAAUCUUUCUUCUUCUUGCUCUGAAAGGUUAGCACUAAUAAUAACAGGAUAUAUUUUCUUUUCAUCAAGAUAAGCAUACUUAAGAUUACCAGGUAAUGGUUUGAGUUCAAACACGGGAUCACCCUUGGGUGGAGGGGGAUCCCCUAGAAUUUCAACGGGUAGGUUGUGUUUUAGCAUAGGUUCCUGUUGAAGGAAAACUUCAUCUAUUUCCCUUCUUUCCUUCAUAGACAUAUCAUUUUCAUGGUCUAGCAAAUAUUGUUCUAACGGAUCAGUAAGAGGAACGACAAUAGAAGCAAGACCAAUAAUCUCAUCCUUACUAGGUGAUUCUCUAUCACGAGGUUGUCUAUGAAACUUAGCAAAAUUAAACUCAUGAGACACAUCCCCUAUGCCAAUUGUAAUAGUAUCCUUUUCACAAUCAAUCCUAGCAUUAACAAUAUUCAAGAAGGGUCUACCAAAAAUAAUGGGACAAAAAUCAUCUUGUGGGGAAUAGAACAAGAAAAUCAGCAGGAUAUUUAACCUUCCCACACAAGACUUCAACAUCUCUAACAAUCCCAAAUGGCUUAAUAGUAUCUCUAUUGGCAAGCUUAAUAGUAACAUCUAUAUCUUCCAUUUCAGUGGGUGCAAUAUCAUGCAUAAUUUCUUUAUAUAAGUCGUAGGGUAUUGCACUAGCACUAGCACCCAUAUCACAUAAGCCAUGAUAACAAUGAUCUCCUAUUUUAACAGAAAUAACAGGCAUGCCUACAACAGGUCUAUGUAUCUUAGCAUCUGGUCUAGCAAUAUUAGCAGUCUCACCACAGAAAUAAAUAACAUGCCCAUCUAAAUUAUCAUCCAAGAGAUGUUUAACUAUAGCAAUACUAGGUUCAACUUUAAUUUGCUCAGGAGGUGUAUAAGUCCUAGUAUUACUCUUACGAACAACAGUCGAAGUUUUAGCAUGAUCCUUUAUCCUAACAAUAAAAGGAGGUUUCUCAACAUAAGUAGUAGGAACAAUAGGAUCACUAUAAGUGACAGUCUUUUCUUCAACUGUAAUAGGUGCAACUACUUUUACUUCAAUGGGAGGAUUAUAUUUAAACCACUUCUCCUUAGGGAGAUCAACGUGAGUAGCAAAAGAUUCACAGAAAGAAGCUACUAUCUCAGAGUCAAGUCCAUACUUAGCGCAAAAUCCACGAAAGGCAUCGGUAUCCAUAAAAGAUUUAACACAAUCAAACUUAGGUGUCAUACCUGACUCCUUACCAUCGUCCGAACCCCAAUCUUUAGAGUUGCGUUUAAUUCUUUCCAAUAAGUCCUACUUGAAUUCAAUAGUCUUCAGUAUAUAAGAACCAACACAGGAAGUAUCGAGCAUGUUGCGAUCAUUGGGAGAAAGACGAGCAUAAAAAUGUUGAAUAAUCAUUUCUCUGGAGAGCUCAUGAUUGGGCAUGAAUAUAACAUUGACUUAAGCCUCCCCCAAUCUUGAGCGAUGCUUUCUCCUUCAUGAGGCCAGAAAUUAUAUAUUACGAUCACGAUGAACAAGAUGCAUAGGAUAGAACUUCUAGUGAAAUUCCAACUUCAAUCAUUUAUAAUUCCAAGAUCCCGUAUCAUCACAUAGCCUAUACCAUGUCAAUGCAUCCCCCUUUAAACAUAAAGGGAAGACCUUCCUUUUGACAACAUCAUCGGGAAUACCUGCAAGCUUAAAUAAUCCACAAACUUCAUCCACAAAGAUAAGGUGUAAAUCGGGAUGCAAUGUUCCAUCUCCUGGAAAUGGAUUAGCAAGCAGUUUCUCUAUCAUACCCGAAGGAAUCUCAAAGUAAAUAUUUUCAGUAGGUGUAGUAGGUUGAGGAGAAACUCUUUGCUCUUCUGGUCGGGGUGAAGAUACCCUGAACAAGCCCCUCAAAGGAUUAGUUUCCAUAGUGACAAGUAACAGAAAAUUUCAGCAAACUAUAUAAAUGUUUCCUUACCAAGUUCCACUCACCAAAAGCGCUACACUCCCCGGCAACGGUGCCAGAAAAGAGUCUUGAUGACCCUCAAGUAUAGGGGAUCUAUCGUAGUCCUUUCGAUAAGUAAGAGUGUGGAACCCAACGAGGAGCAGAAGGAAAUGACAAGCGGUUUUCUGUAAGGUUUUCUCUGCAAGCACUGAAAUUGUAGGUAACAGAUAGUUUUGUGAUAAGAUAAAUUGUAACGAGUAACAAGCAAUGAAAGUAAAUAAAGUGCAACAAGGUGGCCCUAUCCUUUUUUAAGCAAAGGACAAGCCUGGACAAUUUCUUAUAAUGAGAAAAGAGCUCCCGAGGACACAUGGAAAUUAUCGUCAAGCUAGUUUUCAUCACGCUCAUAUGAUUCGCGGUCGGUACUUUGAUAGUUUGAUAUGUGGGUGGACCGGUGCUUGGGUACUGCCCUUACUUGGAAAAUCAUCCCACUUAUGAUUAACUCCUAUUGCAAGCAUCCGCAACUACAAAAGAAGUAUUAAGGUAAACCUAGCCACAACAUUAAACAUAUGGAUCCAAGUCAGCCCCUUACGAAGCAACGCAUAAACUAGGGUUUAAGCUUCUGUCACUCUAGCAACCCAUCAUCUACUUAUUACUUCCCAAUGCCUUCCUCUAGGCCCAAAUAAUAGUGAAGUGUCAUGUAGUCAACAUUCACAUAACACCACUAGAGGAGAGACAACAUACAUCUCAUCAAAAUAUCAAACGAAUACCAAAUUCACAUGACUACUAAUAGCAAGACUUCACCCAUGUCCUCAGGAACAAACGUAACUACUCACAAAGCAUAUUCAUGUUCAUAAUCAGAGAAGUAAUAAUAUGCAUUAAGGAUCUGAACAUAUGAUCUUCCGCCAAGUAAACCAAUUAGCAUCAACUACAAGGAGUAAUCAACACUACUAGCAACCCACAGGUACCAAUUUGUGGUUUUGAUACAAGAUUGGAUACAAGAGAUGAACUAGGGUUUUGAGAGGAGAUGGUGCUGGUGAAGAUGUUGAUGGAGAUUGACCCCCUCACGAUGAGAGGAUCGUUGGUGAUGACGAUGGUGAUGAUUUCCCCCUCCCGGAGGGAAGUUUCCCCGGCAGAACAGCUCUGCCACAGCCCUAGAUUGGUUCCGCCAAGGUUCCGCCUCGUGGCGGCGGAGUUUCGUCCCGUAAGCUUGCCUCUGACUUUUUUUUCAGGGCAAAAGCCUUUAUAUAGCAGAAGGUGGGCACCGGAGGGCUACCAGGGGGCCCAGGAGACAAGGGGUGCGCCCAGUAGGGGUGGGCGCGCUCCCACCCUCCUGGCCUGGGUGUGGGCCCCCCUCUGGUAGUUUCUUCGCUCAAUAAUUCUUAUUAAUUCCAAAAUAACUUCCGUGGAGUUUUAAGAUUUUUGGAGCUGUGCAGAAUAGGUUUCCAAUAUUUGCUCCUUUUCGAGCCAAAAUUCCAGCUGCCGGCAUCCCCCCUGUUCAUGGUAAACCUUGUAAAAUAAGAGAGAAUAGCCAUAAGUUUUGAGAUAUAAUGUGUAAUAACAGCCCAAAAUGCAAUAAAUAUUGAUAUAAAAGCAUGAUGCAAAAUGGACGUAUCAGAUUACCGUACCACUCUGGUGCGGAUCGUGCUCUGGUUGACCUACGAGGUUCAGUAGUAACUUGAUAUAAAGUUUCAUGAUUAUUAUCAUUAGCUUCCUCUCUGGUUGGUGUAGACAUCACGGGAACAGAUUUCUCGGAUGAGCUACUUUCCAAAUUGAGAGAAGGUAUAAUUACCUCAUCAAGUUCUACUUUCCUCCCACUCACUUCUUUCGAGAGAAACUCCUUCUCUAGAAAGGUUCCAUUCUUGGCAACAAAGAUCUUGCCUUCGGAUCUGCGAUAGAAGGUGUACCCAAUUGUUUCCUUAGGGUAUCCUAUGAAGACGCACUUCUCUGAUUUGGGUUCAAGCUUGUCAGGCUGAAGCCUUUUGACAUAAGCAUCACAUUCCCAAACUUUAUGAAAUGACAACUUAGGUUUAUAGCCAAGCCACAGUUCAUAUGGUGUCGUCUCAAAGGAUUUAGAUGGUGCCCUAUUUAAUGUGAAUGCACCUGUCUCUAAUGUAUAACCCCAAAAUGAUAGUGGUAAAUCGGUAAGAGACAAAUAGAUCGCACCAUAUCUAAUAAAGUACGGUUACGAUGUUUGGACACACCAUUAAGCUGUGGUGUUCCAGGUGGCGAGAGUUGUGAAACUAUUCCACAUUGUUUUAAGUGAAGGCCAAACUUGUAACUCAAAUAUUCGCCUCUAUGAUUAGAUCAUAGAAACUUUAUUUUCUUGUUACGAUGAUUCUCCACUUCGUUCUGAAAUUCUGUGAACUUUUCAAAUGUUUCAGACUUGUGUUUCAUUAAGUAGAUAUACCCAUAUCUGCUCAAAUCAUCUAUGAAGGUCAGAAAGAAACGAUACCCGCCGCAUGCCUCAACACUCAUCGGACCGCAUACAUCGGUAUGUAUUAUUUCCAAUAAGUCAUUGGCUCGCUCCAUUGUUCCGGAGAAUGGAGUUUUAGUCAUCUUGCCCAUGAGGCAUGGUUCGCAAGUAUCAAAUGAUUCAUAAUCAAGUGAUUCCAAAAGCCCAUCAUCAUGGAGUUUCUUCAUGCGCUUUACACCAAUAUGACCUAAGCGGCAAUGCCACAAGUAUGUUGCACUAUCAUUAUCAACUUUGCAUCUUUUGGCAUCAAUAUUAUGAAUAUGUGUAUCACUACGAUCAAGAUUCAAUAAACCAUUAACAUUGGGUGUAUGACCAUAGAAGGUUUUAUCCAUGUAAACAGAAUAACAAUUAUUCUCUGUCUUAAAUGAAUAACCGUAUUGCAAUAAACACGAUCCUAUCUUGUUCAUGCUCAACGCAAACGCCAAAAAACAUUUAUUUAGGUUCAAAACUAAUCUCGAAAGUAUAGGGAGUGUGCAAUGAUGAUCAUAUCAAUCUUGGAACCACUUCCAAGACACAUCGUCACUUCACCCUCAACUAGUCUCCAUUUAUUCUGCAACUCCUGUUUCGAGUUACUAAUCUUAGCAACCGAACAUGUAACAAAUACCCAGGGGCUACUACAAGCACUAGUAAGGUACACAUCAAUAACAUGUAUAUCAAAUAUACCUUUGUUCACUUUGCCAUCCUUCUUAUCCGCCAAAUAUUUGGGGUAGUUCCGCUUCCAGUGACCAUUUCCUUUGCAGUAGAAGCACUCAGUUUCAGGCUUAGGUCCAGCUUUGGGCUUCUUCACGGGAGUGACAACUUGCUUGCCAUUCUUCUUGAAGUUCCCUUUCUUUCCCUUUGCCCUUUUUCUUGAAACUAGUGGUCUUGUUAACCAUCAACACUUGAUGCUUUUCUUGAUUUCUACCUUCACCAAUUUUAGCAUCGCGAAGAGCUCGGGAAUCUUUUUCGUUAUCCCUUGCACAUUAUAGUUCAUCACGAAGUUCUAGUAGCUUGGUGAUAGUGACUAUAGAACUCUGCCAAUUACUAUCUUAUCUGGAAGAUUAACUCCCACUUGAUUCAAGCGAUUGUAGUGUCCAGACAUUCUGAGCACAUGCUCACUAGCUGAGCUAUUCUCCCCCAUCUUGUGGGCAAAGUACUUGUCAGGGGUCUCAUACCUCUCAAAACGGGCAUGAGUCUGAAAAUACCAAUUUCAGCUCUUGGAACAUCUCUUAUGCUCUGUGGCAUUCAAAACGUCUUUGAAGCCCCGAUUCUAAGCCGUAAAGCAUUGUGCACUAAACUAUCAAGUAGUCAUCAUACCGAGCUUGCCAAGCAUUCAUAACGUCUGCAUCUGCUCCUGCAAUAGAUCUGUCACCUAGCGGUGCAUCAAGGACAUAAUUCUUCUGUGCAGUAAUGAGGAUAAUCCACAGACCACGGACCCAGUCCGCAUCAUUUCUACUAUCAUCUUUCAACUUAGUUUUUCUCUAGGAACAUAUCAAAAAACAUAGGGGAGAUACAAUGCGAGCUAUUGAUCUACAACAUAGAUAUACAAAUACUACCAGGACUAAGUUCAUGAUAAAUUAAAGUUCAAUUAAUCAAAUUACUUAAGAAUUCCCACUUUGAUAGACAUCCCUCAAGUCAUCUAAAUGAUAUGUGAUCCAAAUCAACUAAACCAUGUCCGAUCAUCAUGUGAGAUGGAGUACUCAUCAAUGGUGAACAUCUCUAUGUUGAUCAUAUCUACUAUAUGAUUCACAUUCCACCUUCCGGUCUCCAAUGUUCCGAGGCCAUGUCUGUACAUGCUAGGCUCGUCAAGUUUAACCCGAGUAUACCACAUGUGCAAAACUGUCUUGCACCCGUUGUAUGUGAACGUAGAGCCUAUCACACCCGAUCAUCACGUGGUGUCUCAGCACGAAUAACUGUCGCAACGGUGCAUACUCAGGGAGAACACUUAUACCUUGAAAUUUAGUUAAGGGAUCAUCUUAUAAUGCUACCGCCGUACUAAGCAAAAUAAUAUGCAUAAAGAUAAACAUCACAUGCAAUCAAAAUAUGUGACAUGAUAUGGCCAUCGUCAUCUUGUGCUUUUGAUCUCCAUCUCCAAAGCAUCGUCAUGAUCUCCAUCAUCACCGGCUCGACACCUUGAUCUCCAUCGUUGCAUCAUGGUCAUCUCGUCAACUAUUGCUUAUACAACUAUCGCUAACGCAUAGUGAUAAAGUAAAGCAAUUACAUGGCGUUUGCAUUUCAUACAAUAAAGCGACAACCAUAAGGCUCUUGCCAGUUGUCGAUAACUUUUACAAAACAUGAUCAUCUCAUACCAUAACGUAUAUCAAAUCAUGUCUUGACUAUAUCACAUCACAACAUGCCCUGCAAAAACAAGUUAGACGUCCUCUACUUUGUUGUUGCAAGUUUUACGUGGCUGCUACGGGCUUCUAGCAAGAACCGUUCUUACUUAUGGCACAAAACCACAAUGGUGACUUAUCAAGUUUGCUGUUUUAACCUUCAACAAGGACCGACCACAGUCAAAUUCGAUUCAACUAAAAGUAGGAGAAACAGACACCCACCAGCCACCUUUAUGCAAAACUAGUUGCAUGUCUAUCGGUGGAACCGGUCUCAUGAACGUGGUCAUGUAAGGUUGGUCCGGGCCGCUUCAUCCAACGAUAGCACAAAAUCAAAAUAAGACAUUGGCGGUAAGCAAUAUGACGAUCACCGCCCACAACUCUUUGUGUUCUACUCGUGCAUAUCAUCUACGCAUAGACCUGGCUCGGAUGCCACUGUUGGGAAACACAACAUGCAAUUUCAAAAAAUUCCUACGCUCACGCAAGGUCUAUCUAGGAGAUGCAUAGCAACGAGAGGGGGAGAGUGUGUCUAUGUACCCUCAUAGACCAAAAGCGGAAGCGUUUGACGACGCGGUUGAUGUAGUCGAACUUCUUCUAGUUCCGACCAAUCAAGUACCGAGCGUACGACACCUCCGAGUUCCGCACACGUUCAGCAUGAUGACAUUCCUUGCCUUAUUUAUCCAGCCAGGUGUCGAGGAAGUAGAUGAGUUCCGUCAGCAUGACGGUGUGGUGACGGUGAUCGUAAAGUGAUCCGUGCAGGGCUUCGCCUAAGCACUAUGAAGAUAUGACCAGAGGCGUAAACUGUGGAGGGGGGCGCCGCACACGACUAAUGAUUGUUGGUUUGUGUUCUAGGCGCCCCCUCCCCAUGUGUAUAUAUGUGAGAGGGGGGGGGAGCAGCCUUGGGGUGCCCCAAGUAGGAGGGAUCCUACUUGGGCUCUUGCCCUAGGCCGGCGCCCCCCUUUCCUUCUUUUGGCGACGAGGGGAAGGAAGGAGGAGGUGGCACCCCCCUUUUCCUUUCUCCCACCAAGGGGGAAAGGCCGGAAGAGGUGGCGCCCCCUCCUUUCGUUCAUCUAGGGCCUGCGGCCAGGGAAAGGGGCACACCAGCCCCUCGUGGUCUAGUAUGUCCCUCCCUCGGCCCGUUAAGCCCAUACCUUUGCUGGGGUUGCCCGAAACUCCUUUCCGGUGACCCGAUAUGUACCCGGUACCCUUUGGAACACUUCCGGUGUCCGUAUACCAUCGUACUAUAUAUCAAUAUUUAUCUCUCGACCAUUUCGAGACCCCUCGUCAUGUCCGUGAUCUCACCCGGGACUCCGAACAACAUUCGGUCACCAAAUCACAUAACUCACUAAUGUCUACUAUGCAACUUUAUUCUUGUAGACACGUGUUGGGCCUCCCAGCGCAGAGUUUUGUAGGACAGUAGCAAUUUUACCUCAAGUGGAUGACCUAAGGUUUAUCAAUCUGUGGGAGCCGUAGGAUGAAUAUAGUCUCUCUCAGGCAACCCUGCAAUCAAAUACAAGAAAUCUCUUGUUUCCCCAACACACCCAAUACAAUAGCAAAUUGUAUAGGUGCACUAGUUCGGCGAAGAGAUGGUGAUAAAAGUGAAGUAUGGAUAGUAGAUAUGAGUUUUCGUAGUGCGAACAAUAAAAAACAGCAAGGUAGUAAAUGAUAAAACAGAGCACAAACGAUAUUGCAAUAAUGGAAAAUGAGGCCUAGGGUGCAUACUUUCACUAGUGCAAUCUCUCAACAAUGAUAACAUAGUUGGAUCAUAUGAUUAUCCCUCAAAGUGCAAUAAAGAAUCACUCUCGAGUUCCUAUUAGCGGAGAACAAAAGAUAGAAAUUGUUUGUAGGGUACGAAACCACCUCAAAGCUUUUCUUUCCGAUCAAUCUAUCCUAGAGUUCGUACUAAAGUAACAGCAAGCUAUUCUCUCCGAUCGAUCUAAUCAAGAGUUCGUACUAAAAUAACACCAUGUGAUGCAUAUCAACCAACUCUAAUGUCACCUAGAUACCCCAAUGUCACCGCGAGUACCCAUGAGUUAAUUAUACAAUAUGUAUCAAACAAUUUCAGAUUCAUAAUACUCAAUCCACACAAAGAACUACAAGGAGACCCCAAAGUUUCUAUUGGAGAAAAGAUAAUAAAAACGUGCAUCAACCCCUAUGCAUAGAUUACCACAACGUCACCCCGGGAAUCCGCAAGUUGAGUGCCAUAACAUAUAUCAAGCGAAUUAAAAUAAUACCCCAUUGUCACCAUGGGUAAUCAUAUGCAAGACAUAUAUCAUGUGUUCUCAGAUCUGAACAUUCAAUCCGACAAGACAAAACUUCAAAGGGUAAAGACUCAAUUCAUCACAACAAGAGUAGAGAGGGGAGAAACAUCAUAUGAUCCAUCUAUGUUAACAAAGCCCAUGAUACAUCAAGAUCGUGAAAUCUCAAGAUCGCAGGAGAGAGAGAGAGAGAUUAAACACAUAGCUACUGGUACAAACCCUCAGCCCCGAGGGUGGACUACUCCCUUUUCAUCAUGGUGGUCGCCGGGAUGAUGAAGAUGGCCACCGGAGAUGAUUCCCCCCUCCGGCAGGGUGCUGGAACGGGGUCCCGAUUGAUUUUCGUGGCUACAGAGGCUUGCGACGGCAGAACUUCUGAUCUAGGGUUAUUUCUGAUGGCUUAUCUAUUUAUAGGAAUUUUUGGGGUCGGUCUCACGUCCAGAUGGGCCUCGAGGUGAGCGUGAUAUACCGGGGCACGAGCAAUGGCCCGGGCGUGCCCCGGUGGGUUGUGCCCUCCUUGUGGCUCUUUUGGCCCUCCCACGAAGCUUCGGGGGUCUCUUUUGUUUCAAAAAACAUUGCCAAAAAGUUUCAGCUCAUUUGGAGAACUUUCAUUUCUGCACAAAAAACAACACCACGGUAGUUCUGCUGAAAAUAGCAUCAGUCCGGGUUAGUUCCAUGCAAAUCAUAUCAAAACCAUAUAAAAUUAUUGUAAACAUGGCAUGAAUACUUCAUAAAUUAUAGAUACAUUGGAGAUGUAUCAACAUCCCAAAGCUUAAUUCCUACUCAUCCUCGAGUAGGUAAAUGAUAAAGAAAUCAUUUAUGAAGUGUGAAUGCUAGCAAAGUGCACAAGUUUGAUCAAUGACAAUUUCAAUCACUUUUCCUAGCAUCAUAGCAGGAUUUUUUUUCUUAUACAACUUCUCAUGUUAUAAUAGCAACCAAUUCACAUGUUAAGGUUCAAAUAAUGAAUUCUCUUGAAUCUCAACAACCUAUGUUCUCAAUCACCAAGCAAUUGCAAUUCAACUUAUUCAACACAGUCUAAGUAAGAGCUCCACAUACUCAAGCAUCAUAUAGUCUUCUAUGAUUGCUAACACUCACCGCAUACACAUGAGCAAAACGUUUCAACCGGACACAUAGAAAGAUAGGGGCUUAUAAUUUCGCGUCCCAACGUAUUCACCUCAAGGGUGAUGUCAACAAUAAUAACUCAUGCUACCCAUAUCCAACUGGAUAUAUGUGCCUAGAUCUUUCCUCACCACAUGAUGCUUGCCAAAGGAGAAAAAUAAAAAGGAAUAGAGAUAAAAACUUUGACUCUUGCAUGAAAGUAAAUACAUAAAAGUAAAGGAUAAGCCCUUCAUAGAGGGAAGCAGAGGUUGCCAUGCGCUUAUUUGUUUGUAUGCUCAACCCCUUAGUGCAAAAGAACGUCAUGUUAUAUUGCCCCUUGUGAUAGCAACCUUUAUUAUGCAGUCUGUCGCUUUUAUUUUUCGCCAUCACAAGUUCGUACAAUGCUCAAUUUUCUCUUGCACUAAAUGAUCUAACACUUUUUGAAGCAAUUUUUAUUGCCUUAUUGCACCGAUGACAACUUGAAGGAUCUUGCUCAAUCCAUAGGUAGGUAUGGUGGACUCUUGAAAAUAAGAUUUGGGUAUAAGGUUUUUUUUGAUGCGCAAGUAGUAUCUCUACUUGGUGCGGAAUUUUUGGCUAGCAAAGAUAGGGGGCAAGCACCACAUGUUGAAGGAUCUAUGACAAUAUAACUUCUAUGUGAAUAUGAACAAACAUAAAUUGUUACAUUGUCUUCCUUGUCCAACAUCAAAUUUUUUGACAUAUAAUAUUUUGAUGGGGGCUCACAAUCACAAAAGAUUUCCAAGAUAGUGUAUUUGCAUGUGAAAGUUCUCUUCCUUAUACUAAUUAUUCGUGAAUUGCUUGUAUGACCAAUAUUGUGAUUGUCAAGCUUCAAAAGCUUUCACUUUCUAAACCCAAUGUGAAGACACUACUAGGCAUGAUAUGAACAUGUAAUUUCAACUUCAUGAUAUUCAAUUUAUUCAACAAUUUACUCAUAGGUUAUAAGUGAAGUACAAGUGAAAAGCUACUCCAAAAAGAUAUAAGUGAAGAUCAAGUGAGUAGUUAUGUAAAUGGGUAUCUAUUUGUGGAAUCUCUUUUAUUUAAAAACCUUUAGAUAUAAGUAUUUUAUUAAAAACAACAAGCAAAACAAAACAAAAUGACAUUCCAAGAUUGGCACACAUCAUGUGAAGAAGCAAAAACUUAGGCUCAACCGAUACUAACCAAUAAUUGUAGAAAAAGAAAGGUGGGAUGCCUACCCGGGCAUCCCCAAGCUUAGGUGCUUGAGACUUAUUGGAAUAUUAGCUUUGGAUGCCUUGGACAUCCCCAAGCUUGAGCAUUUUUGUCUCCUUAAUUCCUCUUAUAUCACGGUUUCCCUAAAUCUCAAAAACUUCAUCCACACAAAACGAUAAUGUUGGAGACGAAAGAGGUGAUGCCUUCCGGGGCAUCCCCAAGGUUAGUUGCUUGGAUCUUCCUUGGAUAUUAACUUGGGGUGCCUUAGUCAUCCCCAAGCUUAGGGUUUUGUCACUCCUUAUUCUCCUCAUAUCGACAUCUCACCCAAAACUUGAAAACCUCAAUCACACAAAACUUAACGGAACUUUGUGAGAUAGGUUAGUAUGAUAAAGAGCAAACAAUUUCACUUUGGUACUGUAAAAGACAAGAUUCAUAAUUUUUCCCACACAAUUCCUACUGUAGCAUAUCAUUUCCACAAUUUAUAUUGAGCAAUAUAAGCCAUAGAAACAAGGAAACAAGCAAACUAUGCAUUGAAAACAGAAUCUGUCAAAAAUAGAACAGUCUGUAGUAAUCUGUACUCAAACCAUACUUCUGCUACUCCAAAAAUUAUGAAAAAAUUAGGACCACGUGAUAAAUUUGUAUAUUAAUCUUCUGCAAAAAGAAUCAACUCAAAAUCACUCUUCUGUUAAAAACGAGAGUUAUUUUUAUGAGCGCAUAAGUUUCUGUUUUUCAGCAAGAUCAAAUCAACCAUCACCCAACAUGAUCCCAAAGGCUUUACUUGGCACUUUAUUGUAACAAAGACAAUAAAGAAUGAUUACUACAGUAUCAUAAUCAUGUGAACACACAAAAACAAUAGGUAAAAGUGUUGGUUUGUCUCCCAACAAGUGCUUUUCUUUAAUGCCUUUUAGCUAGGCAUGAUGAUUUCAAUGAUGCUCGCAUAAAAGAUAAGGGUUGAAACAUAACAAGAGCAUCAUGAAUCAUAUGACUAGCACAUUUAAGUAUAACCCACUUCCUAUGCAUAGAGAUUUUGUGAGCAAAUAAUUCAUGGGAGCAAGAAUCAAGUAGCAUAGGAAGGCAAAACAAGUGCAACUCCAAAACCUUAAACACAAAGAGAGGGAACUUGAUAUUAUUGCAAUAUGGAAAAGCAUAUGUUCCUCUCUCAUAGUAAUUUUCAGUAGCAUCAUGAAUGAAUUCAACAAUAUAACUAUCACAUAAAGCAUUCUCUUCAUGAUCCUAAAGCAUAGAAAAAUUAUUACUCUCCACAUAAGCAAAUUUCUUCUCAUCAAUUGUAGUGGUUGCAAACUCAACAAAAUAACUAUCAUGAGAUUGAAAAUUAAAAUCAUGAUGACAAGUUUCAUGGUUAUCAUUAUUCUUUGUAGCAUACAUGUCUCACCAUAAUCAUCAUAGAUAGGAACUUUGUUAUCAUAGUCAAUUGAAACCUCAUCCAAAAUGGUGGAUUCAUCACUAAAUAAAGUCAUGACCUCUCCAAAUCCACUUUCAUCAUUGUAAUCAUCAUAAAUAGGAGGCAUGCUUUCAUCAUAAUAAAAUUUCUCAUCAAAACUUGGGGGGACUAAAAAUAUCAUCUUCAUCAAACAUAGAAUCCCCAAGCUUGUGGCUUUGCAUACCAUUAGCAUCAUGGAUAUUCAAAGAAUUCAUACUAACAACAUUGCAACCAUGCUCAUCAUUAAUGCCAAACAUUUUAUUGACUUCUUCUUCUAACAAUUGAACACAAUUUUCUGAACCAUCAUUUUCAAGAAAGAUAUUAUAAAGAUGAUCAAUAAUAUGAUGCAACCUCAAUUCCAUUUUUUAUGUAGUUUUCUUUUAUAAACAAAACUAGUGAUAAAGAAAGAAACUAAAAGAUUCAAUUGCAAGAUCUAAAGAUAUACCUUCAAGCACUCACCUCCCCGACCACGACGCCCGAAAAGAGCUUGAUGUCUACUACGCAACUUUAUUCUUGUAGACACGUGUUGGGCCUCCGAGCGCAGAGUUUUGUAGGAUAGUAGCAAUUUUCCCUCAAGUGGAUGACCUAAGGUUUAUCAAUUCGUAGGAGGCGUAGGAUGAAGAUAGUCUCUCUCAAGCAACCCUGCAAUCAAAUACAAGAAAUCUCUUGUGUCCCCAACACACCCAAUACAAUAGCAAAUUGUAUAGGUGCACUAGUUCGAUGAAGAGAUGGUGAUAAAAGUGUAGUAUGGAUAGUAGAUAUGAGUUUUUGUAGUGCGAACAAUAAAAAACAGCAAGGUAGUAAAUGAUAAAACAGAGCACAAACGGUAUUGCAAUAAUGGAAAAUGAGGCCUAGGGUGCAUACUUUCACUAGUGCAAUCUCUCAACAAUGAUAACAUAGUUGGAUCAUAUGAUUAUCCCUCAAAGUGCAAUAAAGAAUCACUCCCGAGUUCCUAUUAGCGGAGAACAAAAGAUAGAAAUUGUUUGUAGGGUACGAAACCACCUCAAAACUUUUCUUUCCGAUCAAUCUAUCCUAGAGUUCGUACUAAAAUAACAGCAAGCUAUUCUUUCCGAUCGAUCUAAUCAAGAGUUCGUACUAAAAUAACACCAUGUGAUGCAUAUCAAUCAACUCUAAUUUCACUUAGAUACCCAAUGUCACCGCGAGUACCCAUUAGUUAAUUAUACGAUAUGUAUCAAACAAUUUCAGAUCCAUAAUACUCAAUCCACACAAAGAACUACAAGGAAACCCCAAAGUUUCUAUCAGAGAAAAGAUAAUAAAAACAUUCAUCAACCCCUAUGCAUAGAUUACCAUAAAGUCACCCCGGGAAUCCGCAAGUUGAGUGCCAUAACAUAUAUCAAGCGAAUCGAAAUAAUACCCCAUUGUCACCAUGGGUAAUCAUAUGCAAGACAUAUAUGAUGUGUUCUCAGAUCUGAACAUUCAAUCCGACAAGACAAAACUUCAAAGGGUAAAGACUCAUUUCAUCACAACAAGAGUAGAGAGGGGAGAAACAUCAUAUGAUCCAUCUAUGUUAACAAAGCCCAUGAUACAUCAAGAUCGUGAAAUCUCAAGAUCGCGGGAGAGAGAGUUAAACACAUAGCUACUGGUACAAACCCUCAUCCCCAAGGGUGGACUACUCCCUUCUCAUCAUGGUGGCCGCCGGGAUGAUAAAGAUGGCCACCGGAGAUUAUUCCCCCCUCCGGUAGGGUGCUGAAUCGGGGUCCCGAUUGGUUUUCGUGGCUACAGAGGCUUGCAGCGGCAGAACUUCUGAUCUAGGGUUAUUUCUGAUGGUUUAUCUAUUUAUAGGAAUUUUUGGGGUCGGACUCACGUCCAGAUGGGCCUCGAGGUGAGCGCGAUACACCGGGGCACGGGCAAGGGUCCAGGCGCGCCCCGGUGGGUUGUGCCCACCUUGUGGCUCUUCUGGCCUCCCACGAAGCUUUGGGGGUCUCUUUUGUUCCAAAAAAAUUUGUCAAAAAGUUUCAGCUCAUUUGGAGAACUUUCAUUUCUGCACAAAAAACAACACCACGGUAGUUCUGCUGAAAAUAGCGUCAGUCCGGGUUAGUUCCAUGCAAAUCAUAUCAAAACCAUAUAAAAUUAUUGUAAACAUGGCAUGAAUACUUCAUAAAUUAUAGAUACGUUGGAGAUGUAUCAGCAUCCCGAAGCUUAAUUCCUACUCGUCCUCGAGUAGGUAAAUGAUAAAAGAAAUCAUUUAUAAAGUGUGAAUGCUAGCAAAGUGCAUAAGUUUGAUCAACGACAAUUUCAAUCACUUUUCCUAGCAUGAUAACAACAAUUUUUUCUUAUACAACUUCUCAUGUUAUAGUAGCAAGCAAUUCACAUGUUAUGGUUCAAAUAAUGAAUUCUCUUGAAUCUCAACAACCUAUGUUCUCAAUCACCAAGCGAUUGCAAUUAUUCAACACAGUCUAAGUAAGAGCUCCACAUCCUCAAGCAUCAUAUAGUCUUCUAUGAUUGCUAACACUCACCGCAUACACAUGAGCAAAACCUUUCAACCAGACACAUAGAAAGAUAGGGGCUUAUAAUUUCGCGUCCCAACGUAUUCACCUCAAGGGUGAUGUCGACAAUAAUAACUCAUGCUACCCAUAUCCAACUGGAUAUAUGUGCCUAGAUCUUUCCUCACCACAUGAUGCUUGCCAAAGGAGAAAAAUAAAAAGGAAUAGAGAUAAAAACGUUGACUCUUGCAUGAAAGUAAAUACAUAAAAGUAAAGGAUAAGCCCUUCAUAGAGGGAAGCAGAGGUUGCCAUGCGCUUAUUUGUUUGUAUGCUCAACCCCUUAGUGCAAAAGAACAUCAUGUUAUAUUGCCCCUUGUGAUAGCAACCUUUAUUAUGCAGUCUGUCGCUUUUAUUUUUCGCCAUCACAAGUUCAUACAACGCUCAAUUUUCUCUUGCACUCAAUGAUCUAUCACUUUUUGAAGCAAUUUUUAUUGCCUUAUUGCACCGAUGACAACUUACUUGAAGGAUCUUGCUCAAUCCAUAGGUAGGUAUGGUGGAAUCUUGAAAAUAAGAUUUGUGUUUAAGGUUUUUUUAAUCCACAAGUAGUAUCUCUACUUGGUGCGGAAUUUUUGGCUAGCAAAGAUAGGGGGCAAGCACCACAUGUUGAAGGAUCUAUGACAAUAUAACUUAUUUGUGAAUAUGAACAAACAUAAAUUGUGACGUUGUCUUCCUUGUCCAACGUCAAUUAUUUUGACAUAUAAUAUUUUGAUGGGGGCUCACAAUCACAAAAGAUUUCCAAGAUAGUGUAUUUGCAUGUGAAAGUUCUCUUCCUUAUACUAAUUAUUCAUGAAUUGCUUGUAUAACCAAUAUUGUGAUUGUCAAGCUUCAAAAGCUUUCACUUUCUAAACCCAAUAUGUGCCACUACUAGGCAUGAUAUGAACAUGUAAUUUCAACUUCAUGAUAUUCAAUUCAUUCAACAAUUUACUCAUAGGUUCUAAGUGAAGCACAAGUGAAAAGCUACUCCAAAAACAUAUAAGUGAAGAUCAAGUGAGUAGUUAUGUAAAUGGUUAGCUAUCUGUGGAAUCUCUUUUAUUUAAAAACCUUUAGAUCUAAGUAUUUUCUUAAAAAUAGCAAGCAAAACAAAACAAAAUGACAUUCCAAGAAUAGCACACAUCAUGUGAAGAAGCAAAAACUUAGGCUCAAGCGAUACUAACCGAUAAUUGUAGAAAAAGAAAGGUGGGAUGCCUACCGGGGCAUCCCCAAGCUUAGGUGUAACAUCCCAAAUUUUCAAUUUGGAAUGUUAUACAUUAGAUCAUCAUUGCAUAUCAUAUUUUAUUGCAUUUUGGUUUGAUCCAGUAAAUUGUACGCAACUCAAGGACCCACGGAGAGAGUUGGGGAUUUUGUUAUUUUCAUAUUUGAGUUUUUCUCAAAUUUUGAAAAGAGGAUCAAUUGAUUUUCAUUAUUUUCUCUUCGUAUAUUUCUUUUAUAAAAAUAAAACAGAGGGAAUAAAAUGACUUCACAAAAAUAAAGAAAUAUUGGAGACUGAAUAUUAAAAUCAAAUAAGAUUUUUCUCGGUGUUUUAUCGCUAUUUUAUUUGAAUUAGGAAAAAUGUGCAUUUUUCAAAUUUGCAUGAUAGGCCCAAAUAAAUGUUCACUUUGUCCGCUAUAUUUUUAGAGGAUGGGAAAAAUUUAUGUCAGGAUUUUUGGAGUCUGUUUAGUAUUUCUUUUAUUUCUUUUUUCUGCGCAGAAUUAUUAAAAAAAGAAACCGACUCCGGGCCGUAAUCGGCCAGGACUCCGCCUAGCCGACCUCUUAUAUAGCGCCGCCCCGAGCCCCCCCCCAGCCCACUGAAGCCCGCGCCACCCCAAACCCUAACCCUACCAGCCGCCGCCGCCGCUGCUGCGCUGCACCACCGUCGCCCGCGCCGCCCCACCCCGCCGGAGCCCCUCGCCGACCCCGCCGGACCUCGCCGGUGAUGACCCACAAGUGUAGGGCAUCUAUCGUAGUCCCUUAGACAAGUGCAGAAGGAAAUGAUAAGCGGUUUUUGGUGUGGUUUUCUAUGCAAGCACUAAAAUUGUAGGUAAUAGAUAGUUUUGUGAUAAGAUAAAUUGUAACGAGUAACAAGCAAUGAAAGUAAAUAAAGUGCAGCAAGGUGGCCCAAUCCUUUUUGUAGCAAAGGAUAAGCCUGGAUAAUUUCUUAUAAUGAGAAAGGAGCUCCCGAGGACACAUGGGAAUUAUCGUCAAACUAGUUUUCAUCACGCUCAUAUGAUGCGCGUUCGGUACUUUGAUAAUUUGAUAUGUGGGUGGACCGGUGCUUGGGUACUGCCCUUACUUGGACAAGCAUCCCACUUAUGAUUAACCCCUAUUGCAAGCAUCCACAACUACAAAAGAAGUAUUAAGGUAAACCUAACCACAACAUUAAACAUAUGGAUCCAAAUCAGCCCCUUACGAAGCAACGCAUAAACUAGGGUUUAAGCUUCUGUCACUCUAGCAACCCAUCAUCUACUUAUUACUUCCCAAUGCCUUCCUCUAGGCCCAAAUAAGGGUGAAGUGUCAUGUAGUCGACAUUCACAUAACACCACUAGAGGAAAGACAACAUACAUCUCAUCAAAAUAUUGAACGAAUACCAAAUUCACAUGACUACUAAUAGCAAGACUUCACCCAUGUCCUCAGAAACAAAGGUAACUGCUCACAAAGCAUAUUCAUGUUCAUAAUCAGAGGAGUAAUAAUAUGCAUUAAGGAUCUGAACAUAUGAUCUUCCACCAAGUAAACCAAUUAGCAUCAACUACAAGGAGUAAUCAACACUACUAGCAACCCACAUGUACCAAUUUGUGGUUUGGAUACAAGAUUGGAUACAAGAGAUGAACUAGGGUUUUGAGAGUAGAUGGUGCUGGUGAAGAUGUUGAUGGAGAUUGACCCCCUCCCGAUGAGAGGAUCGUUGGUGAUGACGAUGGUGAUGAUAUCCCCCUCCUCGAGGGAAGUGUCCCCGGCAGAACAGCUCUGCCGGAGCUCUAGAUUGGUUCCGCCAAGGUUCCGCCUCGUGGCGGCGGAGUUUCAUCCCGUAAGCUUGCCCAUGAUUUUUUCCAGGGUAAAAGCCUUCAUAUAGCAGAAGAUGGACACCAGAGGGCCACCAGGGGGCCCAGGAGAUAGGGGGCGCGCCUAGUAGGGGUGGGCGCGCCCCCACCCUCCUGGCCAGGGUGUGGGCCCCUUGAGGUGUUUCUUCCGCUCAAUAAUUCUUAUUAAAUCCAAAAAAGAAGUUUCGUGGAGUUUCAGGAUUUUUGGAGCAGUGCAAAAUAGGUUUCCAAUGUUUGCUCCUUUUCCAGCCAGAAUUCCAGCUGUCGGCAUUCCCCCUCUUCAUGAUAAACCUGGUAAAAUAAGAGAGAAUAGCCAUAAGUAUUGAGAUAUAAUGUGUAAUAACAGCCCAUAAUGCAACAAAUAUUGAUAUAAAAGCAUGAUGCAAAAUGGACGUAUCAACUCCCCCAAGCUUAGACCUCGCUUGUCCUCAAGCGGAAGCCGAUAUCGAAAAAUAUGUCCACAUGUUUAGAGAUACAAGUGCCGAUAAAAAUAAAAUACGGACAUGAGGGCAUCAUGACCAUUCUUAUAACAGCAACAUAAAUAGAUUUUAUCAUAUGAUUUCUUAUGCUCAAGUAACGAUCAAUUCACAAUGUCAAGCAUGGUUCAAAAACUUCAUUGGAAGCUAACAAACUAUAAUCUUAGUCACUGAAGCAAUUGCAAUUUAUCAUAACAUCAGAAAGAGUCAAGAAUAGAGCUUUUCAGAAAGUCCACACACUCAACUAUCAUGUAGUCUUCUAUAAUUACUAACACUCACGCAAUACUUGUGGUUAUAGAGUUUCAGCCGGACACUGAGAAAGAUACGUGCUUAUUAUGUUGCCUCCCAACGUAUUCACCUUUUAGGUGAUGUCAACAAUAAUAGUCCAUGCUAACUUACACCCAUUUGGAUAUAUAUAUCAUGAUCUUUCAAACAUGAGGAGCUUGCCAAAGGAUAAAAUGAAAAAGGGAAAGGUGAGGAUCACCUUGACUCAAGCAUAAAGUAAAAACAUAAAGUAAAAUAUAGGCCCUUCGCAGAGGGAAGCAGAGGUUGUCAUGUGCGUUUAGGGUUGGAUGCAUAAAAUCUUAAUGCAAAAGAACGUCAGUUUAUAUUGCCACUUGUAUGUGGACCUUUAUUAUGCAGUCCGUCGCUUUUAUUGCUUCCACAACAAGAUCGUAUAAAGAUUAUUUUCUCUGCACUAAUAAGUCAUACAUAUUUAGAUAGCAAUUUUUAUUUCCUGCAACAUGACAACUUACUUGAAGGAUCUUACUCAAUCCAUAAGUAGGUAUGGUGGACUCUCAUGGCAAAACUGGGUUUAAGGAUAUUUGGAAGCACAAGUAGUGUCUCUACUUGGUGCAAGGAAUUUGGCUAGCAUGAGGGGGAAAGGCAGGCUCAACAUGUUUGGAAGGUCAAUGACAAUAUACUUUAACUGAGAUGUGAGAAAACAUAAACCAUUACGUUGUCUUCCUUGUCCAACAUCAACUCUUUUAGCAUGUCAUACUUAAUGAGUGCUUCACAAUCAUAAAAGAUGUCCAAGAUAAUAUAUUUGUAUGUGAAACCUCUCUUUCCUUAUUACUUCCUAUUAAUUGCAACGAUGACCAAAACUAUGUUUAUCAACUCUCAACAACUUUUAUGCCUCAUACUUUCUAUGUGUGAAGUCAUUACUAUCCAUAAGAUCAAUAUGAACUCUUUUAUUCUUUCUACUUUCUCAAGAUCAUAGCAAGAUAGAAAAGCCCUUGACUCAACACUAAUCUUUAUUAUAGAUAGCUCACGGACUCCAUUACAUAAAGAGAUCACAAAGUAAAACUCAAAACUACUUGAUACUAAAACUUUAAUCUACUAGAUCAAGAUACUACUUAAAAGGACCGAACUAAAUAAAACGGUAAAGAUAGGAGUGUGAUGGUUAUACCGGGGCACCUCCCCCGAGCUUGGCAGUUGCCAAGGGGAGUGCCCAUACCCAUGUGAUUAAGUCCUCGGAGGUGGUGAAGUAGGAGUUGUUGAUGAUGUAGGCUUGUCGUCCAUCUUCUAAGGCAUAGGCUCACCAUCAUAGAAGGAUGAUCGAGUCUCCGGGAUCCUUAAAUCUACAGCCAAACUCAUCCUCUUGAAUAUAUAUUCAUACUCAUAGUUCUGGUUUUGCAGGUCAUAGAUCUGGGCUUGGAGAUGCUCGAUUUUCUCUUGAAGCUUGAAGAUGGUCUCCCCAAUGACUUUGGCAUCUAGCUUGUGGUUGUUGGUGAACUCCGUGAUCAUCAUCUGGUUGGCAUUGAGUCCACACUCCACCAUCCCUUGGCAUUUGAAGACUUGCUGCUCCACGGCUUUGAGCUUUGUCUCCAUGCUUCCGGUACGACUUGGUCCCUCCACAUCGCGGAUGUGCAGCACCCCCUCACGCAUCUAAAUGGUUUGAGGGUGUUGCAACACCUCCGCGAGAUAGGGGUUGAUAACCCUCUCGAAAAAUUUGUCCUUGGGAGCGCUUGGAGACGCCAUGAUGCUCUAGAUCUGUAACAGAAAACAGCUCGAAUUGAAAACAGAGGAUAUUUGCGUGAUAUGGUGGUCAAAACCUUCGGGAGUUUAUAUAAUGAAUUUUUACCGACCAAAAUACGUAACGUGCAAUAAAACGGAGUCCGGGAGGCACAUGAGGUGGCCACGAGACAGGGGGGCGCGCCCAGUAAGGGUGGGCGCUCCCUCCACCCUCGUGGAGGCCUCAUGUCCUUCCCUGACUACUUCUUUCUUCCGAAAAUUCUUAAAUAUUCCAAUACUGAUAAAAAUUGCCAUUAAAAUUGUUUUGGAGUCGGUUUACUUACCGUACCACAUACCUAUUCCUUUUUGGAGUCUGGAAUGUUCUGGAAAGUGUCCCUUAUGUAUUCCUCCGGGGUUACGGUUUCAAUAAUAUUAGUUUCAACAUUGAUAGGAUUACCUGAGAUAUAAUGUUUAAUUCUUUGACCGUUCACCACCCUCGGACUUGUGCCUUCGAAGUUGUUGAUUUUUAUGGCACCAGAACGAUAGACCUCCUCGAUAACGUAAGGACCUUCCCAUUUAGAGAGAAGUUUUCCUGCAAAAAAUCUUAAACGAGAGUUGAGUAAUAACACAUAAUCACCUAUGUUCAACUCACGCUUUUGUAUCCUUUUGUCAUGCCAGCGUUUGACUUUUUAUUUGAAUAGCUUGGCAUUCUCAUAGGCUUGGGUUCUCCAUUCAUCAAGUGAGCUAAUAUCAAACAACCUCUUCUCACCGACAAGUUUGAAGUCAUAGUUGAGCUCUUUAAUAGCCCAAUAUGCUUUAUGUUCAAGUUCAAGAGGUAAAUGACAUGCUUUUCCAUAAACCAUCUUAUACGGAGACAUACCCAUAGGAUUUUUGUAAGCGGUUCUAUAGGCCCAUAAUGCAUCACCAAGUUUUUUGGACCAAUUCUUUCUAGAUCUAUUGAUAGUCUUUUGCAAAAUUAAUUUGAGCUCUCUAUUGCUCAACUCUACUUGACCACUAGACUGCGGAUGAUAAGGAGAUGCAAUUCUAUGAUUAACAUCAUACUUAGCAAGCAUCUUACGAAAAGCAACAUGAAUAAAAUGUGAACCACCAUCAGUCAUAAGAUAUCUAGGGACUCCAAACCUCGGAAAAAUAACUUCUUUAAGCAUUUUAAUAGAAGUGUUAUGAUCAGCACUACUAGUUGGAAUAGCUUCUACCCACUUAGUGACGUAGUCAACAACAACUAAAAUAUGUGUGUAACCAUCAGAGGCAGGAAAAGGUCCCAUAUAAUCAAAGCCCCAAACAUCAAACGGUUCAAUAACAAGAGGAUAAUUCAUAGGCAUUUCUUGACGUCUACUAAUAUUACCAAUUCUUUGACAUUCAUCACAAGAUAAGACAAACUUACGAGCAUCUUUGAAGAGAGUAGGCCAAUAAAAACCAGAUUGCAAUACCUUAUGUGCAGUUUUAUCUCCAGCGUGGUGUCCUCCAUAGGACUCAGAAUGACACUUGCAUAGGAUCUGUUCUUGUUCAUGCUCAGGUACACAACAUCUAAUAACACCAUCUACUCCUUCUUUAUAAAGGUGUGGGUCAUCCCAGAAGUAAUGUCUUAAAUCAUAAAAGAACUUUUUCUUUUGCUGGUAUGUGAAACUAGGUGGUAUAAAUUUAGCAACAAUGUAAUUAGCAUAAUCAGCAUACCAAGGAGCAAUACGAGAAGCAUUAACGACCGCUAAUUGUUCAUCAGGAAAGCUAUCAUCAAUAGGAAGUGGGUCAUCAAGAACAUUCUCUAACCUGGACAAGUUGUCUGCAACGGGGUUCUCAGCUCCCUUUCUAUCAAUAAUAUGCAAAUCAAAUUCUUGGAGCAAGAGAACCCAUCUAAUGAGUCUAGGCUUAGCAUCUUUCUUUUCCAUAAGAUAUUUAAUAGCAGCAUGAUCAGUGUGAAUAGUAACUUUGGAAUCAACAAUGUAAGGUCUAAACUUAUCAGAUGCAAACACAACUGCUAAGAAUUCUUUUUCAGUAGUAGCAUAAUUUUUCUGGGCAGUAUCAAGAGUCUUACUAGCGUACUGGAUAACAGUCAAUUUCUUAUCAACUCUUUGCCCUAGAACAACACCUACAGCAUAAUCACUAGCAUCACACAUAAUUUCAAAGGGUAAAUUCCAAUCAGGUGGCUGAACAAUAGGUGCAGUGAUCAAAGCUUUCUUAAGUAUUUAAAAUGCUUCUACACAAUCAUCAUCAAGGACAAAAGGAAUAUCUUUUUGCAAUAAAUUAGUCAGAGGCCUAGAGAUUUUAGAAAAGUCCUUAAUGAACCUCCUAUAAAAACCGGCAUGACCAAGGAAACUUCUUAUACCUUUUAUGUCCUUGGGACAUGGCAUCUUCUUAAUAGCAUCAACUUUGGCUUUAUCAACUUCAAUACCUCUCUUGGAAAUCUUAUGCCCCAAGACAAUGCCUUCAUUAACCAUAAAGUGGCACUUUUCCCAAUUCAAGACGAGACUAGUGUCUUCGCAUCUCUGCAAAACUCGAUCAAGGUUGCUCAAGCAAUUAUCAAAAGAGGAUCCAUAAACGGAGAAAUCAUCCAUGAACACCUCACAAAUCUUUUCACAAAAGUCAGAGAAUAUAGCCAUCAUACAUCUUUGAAAGGUAGCAGGUGCAUUACAUAAACCAAAAGGCAUGCGUCUAUAAGCAAAAGUACCAAAAGGGCAAGUAAAAGUAGUUUUUGAUUGAUCUCCCGCUGACACAGGUAUUUGAGAGAAACCAGAAUAACCAUCGAAAGCAGAAAUGUGUGUGUUUGGAUAGUCUUUCUAGCAUUUGAUCAAUAAAAGGUAAAGGGUAAUGAUCUUUCUUAGUAGCUUUAUUUAAUUUACAGAAAUCAAUUACCAUCCUAUAACCUGUAAUAAUUCUUUGCGGGAUCAAUUCAUCUUUAUCAUUAGGAACGACAGUAAUACCUCCCUUUUUAGGAAUACAAUGGACAUGGCUUAGCCAAUCACUAUCAGCAACGGGAUAAAUUAUACCUGCCUCAAGGAGCUUUAGUAUCUCCUUUCUUACCACUUCUUUCAUCUUGGGAUUCAAUCGUCGUUGAGGAUCUCUAACUGGUUUGGCACCGUCCUCCAAAUUAAUUUUGUGUUGGCAUAACAUGGGACUAAUGCCCUUAAGAUCAUCCAGAGUAUAUCCAAUAGCAGCGCGGUGCUUCUUCAGAUUUUCAAUAAUCUUUCUUCUUCUUGCUCUGAAAAGUUAGCACUAUUAAUAACAUGAUAUAUUUUCUUUUCAUAAAGAUAAGCAUACUUAAGAUUAUCAGGUAAUGGUUUGAGUUCAAACACGGGAUCACCCUUGGGUGGAGGGGGGUCCCCAAGAAUUUCAACGGGAAGGUUGUGUUUCAGCAUAGGUUCCUGUUUAAGGAACACUUCAUCUAUUUCCCUUCUUUGCUUCAUAAACAUAUCAUUUUCAUGGUCAAGCAAAUAUUGUUCUAACGGAUUAGAAGGAGGCACGACAAUAGAAGCAAGACCAAUAAUCUCAUCCUUACUAGGUGAUUCUCUAUCACGAGGUUGUCUAUGAAACUUAGCAAAAUUAAACUCAUGAGACAUACCCUCUAAGCAUAUGGUAACAGUAUCCUUUUCACAAUCAAUCCUAGCAUUAACUGUAUUUAAGAAGGGUCUACCAAAAAUAAUGGGACAAAAGUCAUUUUGUGGGAACUAAGAACAAGCAAAUCAGCAGGGUAUUUAACCUUCCCACACAAGACUUCAAUAUCUCUAACAAUCCCAACUGGUGAAAUAGUAUCUCUAUUGGCAAGCUUGAUAGUAACAUCAAUACCUUCCAACUCAACUGGUGCAAUAUCAUGCAUAAUCUCUUUAUAUACGUCAUCGGGUAUUGCACUAGCACUAGCACCCAUAUCACAUAAACCAUGAUAACAAUGAUCUGCUAUUUUAACAGAAAUAACAGGCAUGCCUGUCAUAGGUCUAUGUAUCUUAGUAUCUGGUCUAACAAUAUUAGCAGUCUCACCACAGAAAUAAAUAACAUGACCAUCUAAAUCAUCAUCCAAGAGAUCUUUAACCAUAGCAAUACUAGGUUCAACUUUGAUUUGCUCAGGAGGUGUAUAAGUCCUAGUAUUACUCUUACAAACAACAGUCAAAGUUUUAGCAUGAUCCUUUAUCCUAACAGGAAAAGGAGGUUUCUCAACAUAAGUAGUAGGAACAAUAGGAUCACUAUAGGUGACAGUCUUUUCUUCAACUAUAAUAGGUGCAACUACUUUUACUUCAAUGUGAGGAUUAUAUUUAAACCACUUCUCCUUAGGGAGAUCAACGUGAGUAGCAAAAGAUUCAUAGAAAGAAGCUACUAUCUCAGAGUCAAGUCCAUAUUUAGCGCUAAAUCCAUGAAAAGCAUCGGUAUCCAUAAAAGAUUUAACACAAUCAAACUUAGGUGUCAUACCUGACUCCUUACCAUCGUCGGAACACCAAUCUUCAGAGUUGCGUUUAAUUCUUUCCAAUAAGUCCCAUUUGAAUUCAAUAGUCUCCAGCAUAUAAGAACCAACAUAGGAAGUAUCAAGCAUGUUGCGAUCAUUGAGAGAAAGACGAGCAUAAAUUUUUUGAAUAAUCAUUUCUCUAGAGAGCUCAUGAUUGGGGCAUGAAUAUAACAUUGACUUAAGCCUCCCCCAAGCUUGAGCAAUGCUUUCUCCUUCGUGAGGCCAGAAAUUAUAUAUGUAAUUACGAUCACGAUGAACAAGAUGCAUAGGAUAGAACUUUUGGUGAAAUUCCAACUUCAAUCGUUUAUAAUUGCAAGAUCCCGUAUCAUCACAUAGCCUAUACCAUGUCAAUGCAUCUCCCUUCAAAGAUAAAGGGAAUACCUUCCUUUUGAAAAAAUCAUCGGGAAUACCUGCAAGCUUAAAUAAUCCACAAACUUCAUCCGCAAAGAUAAGGUGUAAAUCGGGAUGCAAUGUUCCAUCUCCUGCAAAGGGAUUAGCUAGCAGUUUCUCUAUCAUACCCGAAGGAAUAUCAAAGUAAAUAUUUUCAAAAAGUUCAGUAGGUUGAGGAGCAACUCUUUGCUCUUCUGGUCAGGGUGAAGAUACCCCGAACAAGCCCCUUAAAGGAUUAGUUUCCAUAAUGACAAGUAACAGAAAAUUUCAGCACACUAUAUAAAUGUUUCUUUACCAAUUCCCACUCACCAAAAGUGCUACACUCCCCGGCAACGGCGCCAGAAAAGAGUCUUGAUGACCCACAAGUGUAGGGGAUCUAUCGUAGUCCUUUCGAUAAGUAAGAGUGUCGAACCCAACGAGGAGCAGAAGGAAAUGAUAAGCGGUUUUCAGUAAGGUAUUCUCUGCAAGCACUGAAAUUGUAGGUAAUAGAUAGUUUUGUGAUAAGAUAAGUUGUAACGAGUAACAAGCAAUGAAAGUAAAUAAAGUGCAGCAAGGUGGCCCAAUCCUUUUUGUAGCAAAGGAUAAGCCUGGACAAUUUCUUAUAAUGAGAAAGGAGCUCCCGAGGACACAUGGGAAUUAUCAUCAAGCUAGUUUUCAUCACGCUCAUAUGAUUCGCGUUCGGUACUUUGAUAAUUUGAUAUGUGGGUGGACCGGUGCUUGGGUACUGCCCUUACUUGGACAAGCAUCCCCCUUAUGAUUAACCCCUAUUGCAAGCAUCCGCAACUACAACAUAAGUAUUAAGGUAAAUCUAACCACAACAUUAAACAUAUGGAUCCAAAUCAGCCCCUUACGAAGAAACGCAUAAACUAGGGUUUAAGCUUCUGUCACUCUAGCAACCCAUCAUCUACUUAUUACUUUCCAAUGCAUUCCACUAGGCCCAAAUAAUGGUGAAGUGUCAUGUAGUCGACAUUCACAUAACACCACUAGAGGAAAGACAACAUACAUCUCACCAAAAUAUCGAACGAAUACCAAAUUCACAUGACUACUAAUAGCAAGACUUCACCCAUGUCCUCAGGAACAAACGUAACUACUCACAAAGCAUAUUCAUGUUCAUAAUUAGAGGAGUAAUAAUAUGCAUUAAGGAUCUGAACAUAUGAUCUUCCACCAAGUAAACCAAUUAGCAUCAACUACAAGGAGUAAUCAACACUACUAGCAACCCACAUGUACCAAUUUGUGGUUUUGAUACAAGAUUGGAUACAAGAGAUGAACUAGGGUUUUGAGAGGAGAUGGUGCUGCUGAAGAUAUUGAUGGAGAUUGACCCCCUCCCGAUGAGAGGAUCGUUGGUGCUGACGAUGGUGAUGAUUUUCCCCUCCCGGAGGGAAGUUUCCCCGGCAGAAUAGCUCUGCGAGAGCCCUAGAUUGGUUCCGCCUCGUGGCGGCGGAGUUUCGUCCCGUAAGCUUGCCCACGAUUUUUUCUAGGGUAAAAGCCUUCAUAUAGCAGAAGAUGGACACCGGAGGGCCACCAGGGGGCCCAGGAGACAGGGGGCGCGCCCAGUAGGGGUGGGCGCGCCCCCCACCCUCCUGACCAGGGUGUGGCCCCCCUGAGGUGUUUCUUCCACUCAAUAAUUCUUAUUAAUUCCAAAAAUAAGUUUCGUACAGUUUCAGGAUUUUUGGAGCAGUGCAGAAUAGGUUUCCAAUGUUUGCUCCUUUUCCAGCUAGAAUUCCAGCUGCCGGCAUUCCCCCUCUUCAUGAUAAACCUUGUAAAAUAAGAGAGAAUAGCCAUAAGUAUUGAGAUAUAAUGUGUAAUAACAGCCCAUAAUGCAACAAAUAUUGAUAUAAAAGCAUGAUGCAAAAUAGACGUAUCAGCCGGACCCGUCGGAGGUAGCCGCCUCCGCCGCCGCGGUUUUCGUGAGAAAACCGUUGGUUUUUUUAGAAACCCCAUUUUAUUUUUUUAAUAGAUCGGUUUUAUUUUUUUCGGUUUAGUUAUUUAGCGAACGCCCGUUCGUUUGUUUGUUUUAACGAACGAUUUUCACCGUUUAGCCGCAGACAGCGAACAUUCGUUCGUUAGCCUGUUCUUCAGUUUUUCUUUUUCCAGGGUUUUUUCGCGAUUAUUUUCGAUCGCGAUUUCUGCCCUAAUUUUCGUUUUAGUUUAUCUUUUCGCUCAUUUAUCGAAAUCAGACGAUUCAAGCGCCUAGAGUUUCGUCUCGAAACCCUCUUUCUUGUUAACCAACUCAAACAAGUUUUAGCUACUGUAAAAUUUGACUUAAGUCCAGAUUAGUAAACGAAGCUUGUUUCUUUCGCAGUUUGAGUUUCGUUGUUUUGUUUGAUUUGAUUCUUUUUGCAAACCGGAGUUCUUAAGUUGAAAUUUCUGGUUAGAUCUCUUAUUUGAGUUUACCCGUGCUUCUAGUUGAGUGCUUAUUGUAUGCUUGUUUGUUUGCGAUAGAGUACCCGGAGUGCGCAGCGUGCUACUACGAGUCUCUAGGUUUCACGGUUCCUCAGCAAGGCAAGUAACACUUUGAUCAUACCUCUUUACUACCCAGUUUUAUUGCAUUAGAUCAAUCCUCAAACAAUUGCAUGGUUAGGAUCUGUUUUAUAUGUGGGUUUUGGGAAGUAGAUGAGGUAGUACCUAUUGUCCUGUUUAUUAUCAAACCUUUGGGAGUUACUUCUACGUUGCUUAUAUUGCUAUGCUAUGCUAGUAGACGUGGAUUGGGUGAGUGUAUCCAUGAUAGAUGUGAGUUUUGUUACUUAAUGGUUAACUUAAGGUGGCUACUUUAAUACACAUCUGGGUGGAUUAAGGCACCUGGGGAACCCAGUGUUGCCUGUAUUGUUUUGGAAAUCCCAGGGUACCGUGUGACUCUCCUAUGGACCGCCACCCAGGCUCAAAGGGAUCAUAAGAUUAUUCAUGCUAGAAACUUCCGUGUGCAGCCGCAAGCUAUUAUGGGCUCUAGCAUAGUUGAGUAUGUUGUGUGACCUCUUUCAGUGGUAGACUAGCAGAUGUAGGGGAUGUAGGUUGGUACUGUCUACCUAGAGUAAAGGGUUAAUACUUCUGAAAGACUGUGUCUCGGUCAUCUGUUUCUCAAACACUUUAUAGUGCGAGAAAUCCAACGGAGGAGAUCGAGUCUUGUGGGGAAAAGUGCACAAACCUCUACAGAGUAUACACACUAAUCAUGGUUAGCCGUGUCCACGGUUAUGGACACUUUGAGUAUCUAGUUUCUUGGAUUAUCCUAUGGAUCUCAUCACUCUUAAUUUAAUUUGUUGGGUUCAAUAAUGAUGCUUAAUUGGGAUUGAGAGGGGGAUUACCUUCUCAAUGUUUAACAACCACCAUGAUAGUUAAAUAAAAUUUAGUACUUUGUUGUAGGAAAAAAUUGGCUUUAUGCAAAACCUGUAGCCAUAGAGCUUACCACCAGCCAUAUAUGCAUGUAGUGAUAGCAUUAUUCUGUUCAUUAUUCUCUAUGUGUUACAUUGCCAACAUAUUCUAUGUGCUGACCCAUUUUCAGGAUGCAACAUUCAUGUUGCAGACUUUUCAGAAGACGAGUAAGGUGCCUUAGGUCGUGAUCUUUCACUCAGUGAUGCCGUUGGAGUUGAUGGACUCGCUUUAUCUUCCAAGCCUUCUGCUGUUAUCAUAUUUAGAUGGCCUUAAGCCAUAUUUAUUGUAAUAAGUUCUCUUUUGAGACAUUCGAUGUAAUAAGUGUGUGAUUGCCACUCUGUUAUAAAUCCUUCAAGUACUGUGCGUGUCAGCAUUACCGAUCCAGGGAUGACACUGAUGCACAGAGACCAGACUGUUUGAGGUCUGGUCGCUACAAGAUGGUAUCAGAGCACACGCUGACUGUAGGACAUGACCAUUAAGCUAAAGCCCUAGAUCACUACUCUCUUCUCAUUUCUAACUCCUCUCCCUUUUCUACUCUUUAGGAUGGCGGAUGCAAGGAACAAGUUCACGCAACCGGAUGAAGAUACACCUUUCGGACGCCACUUGAAGGAAGUCACUAGAUACCUGAACAUCGGAGUACCAAGCUUCAUCGGGACCUACAUCGCCACUUUACCAGAAGAGGAGCAUUGGAUGAUUCAAGUUCAAGUUCCAGGAAGGACGUUCAUGCCAGUCACUGAGCCCAUAGAGUUUUCCUUUGAUGCACCAACCUGGAGUCUAGGAAAGAGCAUGGCAGCCCACAUCUGAAAGGAUCGAGAAGAGGUGUCUAGAGGGGGGUGAUUAGACACUAAGUGAGAAAAGGUGCAGUUUUUAAAUUCUUUAAGUUGAAGUGGAGUUUUGGCACAAGAUUAACAAUCACAACACAUAUCAAGCAAGCAUGCAAAGAGUAUAUGAGCAGCGGAAAGUAAAGCAUGCAACUUGCAAGAAUGUAAAGGGAUGGGAUUGGAGUGUGCAAACGCAAUUUGGAGACACAGAGAUUUUUGAGAUGUGGUUCCGAUAGGUGGUGCUAUCGUACAUCCACAUUGAUGGAGACUUCAACCCACGAAUGGUAACGGCUGCGCGAGUCCACGGAGAGCUCCACCCACGAAGGGUCCACGAAGAAGCAACCUUGUCUAUCCCACCAUGGCCGUCGCCCACGAAGGACAUGCCUCACUAGGGGUAGACCUUCACGAAGUAGGAAAUCUCCUUGCCCUUACAAAAUCCUUGGUUCAACUCCACAAUCUUGUCGGAGGCUCCCAAGUGACACCUAGCCAAUCUAGGAGACACCACUCUCCAAGAAGUAACAAAUGGUGUGUUGAUGAUGAACUCCUUGCUCUUGUGCUUCAAAUGAUAGUCUCCCCAACACUCAACUCUCUCUCUCACAGGAUUUGGAUUUGGUGGAAAGAAUAUUUGAGUGGAAAGCAACUUGGGAAAGGCUAGAGAUCAAGAUUCAUAUGGUAGGAAUGGAAUAUCUUGGUCUCAACACAUGAGUAGGUGGUUCUCUCUCAGAAAAUGAGUGCUGGAAGUGUAAGCACGUUCUGAUGGCUCUCCCCACGAAUGAAGAGUGGGUGGAGGGGUAUAUAUAGCCUCCACACAAAAUCUAACCGUUACACACAACUUACCAAUCUCGGUGGGAUCGAAUUGAGAAACUCAGUCGGACCGAUUUAGCAAAUCAUGUGACCGUUAGGAUGUUCGGUGGGAUCGACAUGAAACUCGGUAGGACCGAUAUGGUUAGGGUUAGGGCAUAAUGUAAUCUUGGUGAGAUCGAUUACACAAACUCGAUGGGACCGAUUUUGGUAAUAAGCUGACCAGAGAGUUGGUCAGGCAAACUCGGUGGGACCAAUUCGCUCAUCUCAGUUGGACCGAAAUGUGACGAAGAGGAACAGAGAGUUUGCAUUGUAAUGUCGAUAGUACCGAUUACUCAAACUCGAUGAGACCAAUUUUGGUAAUGGACAUACACAGAGAGAUUACAAUCCCAUCUCGGUGAGACCGAGAUCCCUAUCGGUGAGACCGAUUUGCCUAGGGUUUGUGGCAGUGGCUAUGACAUCUGAACUCGGUGGCGCCGGAUAGAAAGAAUCGGUGGGGCCGAGUUGGACUUUUGGUUUGGGACAUAUAUGGAUAUGAGAAGGUAGUUGAAGGCUCUGGAGCAUAUCACUAAGCACUUUGAGCAAGCAAGUCAUUAAGCAACACCUCAUCCCCUCUUGAUAGUAUUGGCUUUUCCUAUAGACUCAAUGUGAUCUUGGAUCACUAAAAUAGAAAAUGUAGAGUCUUGAGCUUGGAGCUUGAGCCAAUCCUUUGUCCUUAGCAUCUUGAAGGGGUUCCACAUCCUCUAGUCCAUGCCACUUAAUUUUUGAACUCAUUUGAAACAUACUAGGUAAAAGUGUUAGUCCAACAAGAGAUAUGUUGACAUUAAUUACCAAAAUCACCCACGGAGCACUUGUUCUUUCAACAUCACCAUGGGACGCAUUGGAGAAGUUUACCACAAUGAUCUCAAGGAUACUAUCUAACAGAUUUGUGGGCGCCGAGAUGAGCAAUGGGAGAUGAUUAGCACCAAGAAAGAUAGAUCUAUUGCAGCUUUCAUCCAGGAGUUAAACCAGCACAUUCGUCGCCAGGAGAACCAGAUGUGUGCAGGCAUGAUAGAUCUGAAGAAGGCAAUGACCAGGAUCACGGAGCUGGAGGAAGAACUCAAGUCCACACACGAUGGAUAUGAGGAAAAAAUCAUAACAUUAUUGGAGAAGAAUGACGACCUGAUAAAGAAGAUCGGAGUAUUCAUGGGAGACCCCGCGCCAAGAGGAGAUGAUGACGAUUCCACUUGCCUGGAGAACUACAUCAUCAUCAACGACACCGACUUGGAUCCUGAUGAUAGUGAUGAUGACUUUCUUGAUGAAGCUGGAGCAGAUAUCAUGGAAUCUUCGACCGAUCAAUUUUUCUAGUCGACCACCAUAAUAGUAGUAGUAUUACCCCAUGUAUAUAGUAUAGUCCGAGCACUUUUGUAACGAUAGUUAGGCCGUUGUAUGCCCAUGUUUGGAUUGAUUGAAGUGAUAUGAUUGUGUUUGUCUCAUGUGCAUAUGGGUAGUGUUUUCCCUCUUGAUCUCGUUCUAUUCUAUUAUCUCACCCUUUCUAAACCCCAGAUGCCUCCGAGACGCGACAAUGGAUUUGCUUUCUCACCGGAGCUCACUCAGUUGAUCCAGCAGCAGAAUGCAUUGAUGCAGAUACUAGCCCAGAAUCAGAAUCAGGGGAACAACAACAACAACAACCCACCACCACCACCUGUUGAUCACUUAGCCCGUUUCUUGAGGCUCAAUCCGCCGGUGUUCUCUAGUAGCACCGAGCCGAUAGUUGCAGAUGAUUGGCUCAGCAAGAUUGGAAGGGAGUUGACAACUACAGGAUGCAUAGGUGCGGAGAGAGUGUGGUUUUCCGCGCAUCAGCUUGAUGGACCCGCAGCAUCAUGGUGGGAGAAUUUCACAACCACUUACCCCAUCGACACUGUUACAUGGGACCAGUUUCAGCAGGCUUUCCGUACUGCCCAUGUUUCAGCAGGAGCUAUGGCCAUGAAGAAGCAUGAGUUUCGCAACUUGCGCCAAGGAGUACCAAGACUGGGAUGACAUGUAGAGUGAGUACUAAGUACCACAUUGGAUAUAGACAUGUCCCCAAAGAGUGAGUACUAAGACUGGGAUGACACAGAUGCACCUACUGGCCAGAGCAAACAAAAGAAACCACAAGAGUACCAAGACUGGGAUGACAUGUAGAGUGAGUACUAAGUACCACAUUGGAUAUAGACAUGUCCCCAAAGGUAAAGAUGUGCAAUGAAUUUAAAGAAUUUCUUUCCCUUAGAUGUCUUGCUCCCCCUGAAUCUAGCACGGGAUACUGGGAGAAGAUAGGGAAUAGAAAAUCAGAGCAAAAUCAGAGCUCAAGGAAAAUAAACAAAUAUGAACAUAGCUAAUGAAAACAAGCAUAUAUGAACAUGUCUUUCCCCUCUUGAAGACAUGUGACUUCUCUCCUCUUGAGCACCAAGCAUCCGGGGUCCUUGAUGAUUACUCUUUCUCCCCUCGAGUAUUCUCUCCCCCUAUAGAUAUGAUUAAGCUUUGAUGUGAUCUCUCUCUCCCCCUUUGACAUCAAUUUCCAAGAAGGGUUCUUCUGGAUUUUUGUCACGAUGGGUUUGGUCCUUGAGUCACAGAACAAAGAAGUAAGUUGAAUGUGAUGCUGGUAGAGGACAAGAUUCAUUGAGUAGAGCUAGAUCAAAAAUAAUGCAGGAACAAGUGGCAAAAUGUCUUUCCUAUAGUGAAAUCGGUGGCACCGAGUUUUAUGCUUCAGUUGCACCGAAAGGAUUCGGUUGGACCGAAAACAAUAGACUGGUGUGACCGAGUUCAUCACAGAGAAAACACUUGUCACCUCAGCUCACUAGACAAGUAAGAUCUCACAAGGAUUUGCAAGGAAUUAACUGAAAGAUUUGCAAUGAAUUGGAUGCAGGGAAUGCAGAACACAAAAUAAAAUAAAAGAAAUCUAGAUGAAUUUUUUUGAAAGGGGAAACAAGUAUGCAUGAGACAAAUGCAAGAGCACUGAAAAGAAGACAUGAGAGAACUUCAUCUAUGAUUGGUCGGCAACAAGGUCACCUAUAUUAGAGUAUUUUGACUUAGGAGCCAAGUGAGAUCACUUGAUCAUAGGUCAUACUCAUCGUUUAAGCUCAAAAUGGGGUUACCAUUUUUCGUUUAAGCGUCUUGAUGUAUUCACAUCUUGUCGAGUUGCUUCGACUCAUGACUUGGAGUAAUGCUUCUCUGAGAUGGAAUAACAUACCUUGGGUGGUGGCGUUGAUCGUGAUCAUGUAGUUGAACUUGUGUGGGUUGCUCAAGGUUGAUGUAGCUCAUCAAGAGUUGGGAGCACCACUUGGAAUUUGAGUUCAUCUACCUACAUGGGUUAGUUUUUGCAAGGAAGAGCACUUGUGUAUCCAAAAUGAUAAUCAUGAAACUCAACAUAGAAUUUGUCAAAGGAUAUGUUUGAAUGGUUUCGUGCUUCCUUGUCUUCAACCACCAUUGUGUAGAGACUUGGUGAUGUAGAGAUCACUCAAGAUGUGAGUGAGUUGCUAUCUCAUAGAUUUAGAUUCAUCCAAGUACCUACACGGGUUAGACAACAUGCAAGGUGCAAAUUUAUCCAAGACAUAAGAUCAUCAUAAGAGAAAUAUCAAGGACUAGUCAUAGGCUCAUGCCUUGCAUGUAUCAAAUGGAGUUCCUACUCCAAAUUUGAAGCAUCAAUGAUGUUCAAUUCACCUCUUAACCUGCAAAACACUUUCUCAUCAAGUGGUUUAGUGAAAAUAUCCGCUAAUUGCUUUUCGGUGCAAACAUGCUUAAGAUUAAUGUCCCCUUUGGCAACAUGAUCUCGAAUGAAAUGAUGACGAACUUCAAUAUGCUUAGUUCGAGAAUGUUGCACGGGAUUAUGAGCAAUCUUGAUAGCAAUUUCAUUAUCACAAAGCAAUGGAACAUGUUUCACAUAUAUCCCAUAAUCUUUAAGAGUUUGGGUCAUCCAAAGCAAUUGAGCACAACAUGAACCAGCGGCAAUGUAUUCCGCUUCGGCGGUGGAUAAGGAUACCGAGUUUUGUUUCUUGGAAGACCAAGACACAAGGGAUCUACCGAGAAAUUUACAUGUACCCGAAGUGGACUUUCUAUCAACCUUGUCACCAGCAUAGUCCGAGUUGGAGUAGCCAACAAGAUUAAAAGUGGCCCUCUUUGGAUACCAAAUGCCAAAAUUUGGUGUAUGGAUUAAGUAUCUCACUAUCCUUUUCACAGCCUUAAGAUGACAUUCUUUAGGAGCGGCUUGAUAUCGUGCACACAUGCACACACUUAGCAUAAUAUCGGGACAUGAAGCACAUAGAUAUAACAAUCAACCAAUCAUAGAGCGAUAAACCUUUUGAUCAACCGGUUCACCAUCUUUGGUCAAAUCAAGAUGUCCACUAGAAGGCAUAGGUGUAGUCAUACCUUUGCAUUCUUGCAUAUUGAACUUCUUGAAUAAGUCCCUGGUGUACUUCGUUUGAGAGACAAAGGUACCUUCCUUAGUUUGCUUGAUUUGCAAACCAAGAAAGAAUUUGAGUUCACUCAUCAUUGACAUCUCAAACUUCUCCGACAUUAGCUUUCCAAACUUUUAACUAAAGUGAGGGUUAGUCGAACCAAAUAUAAUAUCAUCAACAUAGAUUUGGCAUACAAAUAGUUCUCCAUUAACCCUUUUAGUAAAAAGAGUAGAAUCAAUUUUUCCUAUUUCAAAGAGCUUUUUCAAUAAGGAACUUGGUCAAGCAUUUAUACCAAGCUCUAGGAGCUUGUUUAAGACCAUAAAGAGCUUUGUGAAGUUUGUAAACAUGAUUAGGUUUCUUGGGAUUGACAAAGCCGGGAGGUUGCUUAACAUAAACUUCCUCCUCUAUUUCACCAUUUAUAAAAGCACUUUUAAUGUCCAUUUGGUACAAGGUAAUAUCAUGGUGAUUAGCAUAGGCAAGUAAGAUGCGAAUGGACUCAAGUCUAGCAACGGGGGCAUAUGCCUCACCAUAGUCCAUACCUUCGACUUGAGUGUAGCCUUGGGCGAUGAGACGUGCUUUGCUGUGAACUACUUGUCCAUCUUCAUCUUGCUUGUUGCGAAACACCCAUUUGGUACCGAUGAUGUUGUGGUCAUUAUCGGGCUUCUCAACCAAUGUCCACACUUGAUUUCUCUCAAAGUUGUGUAGCUCUUCAUGCAUGGCAUUUAACAAUCUGGAUCUUCCAAAGCUUCUUCAACCUUCAUAGGUUCAAUGCUAGAGAUGAAUGAAUAGUGUUCACAAAAGUUAGCUAAAUGAGUUUUAGAGCGAGUGAUUCUCCUAGUUUGGAUAUCAUUGUAGAUUUGCUCGACGGGAUGGUCUUUAGCAAUUCUUGCUCGAACUCGUGAAAGCUUUUGCUUGGAUCUUGGUUGAACAUCUUCUUCAUCUUCUUCUUCUUCUUUGCCUUCGUCAUUGUUGACAUUGUCGUUCUCUUGUCGUGGUGGAGAAGGAGGUUGUUGGCCUUCAUCUUGGUGCACUUCCUCGUUUUCUUCAUCUUGGUGUGUCCCACUUGUGGAUGCUUCCGUAUCAACUCUUGGUUCACCUUGUCGUGAGGUAGAAGCUUCCACUUGGACGGACGAGGUACUCUCCUUCACCUCCGUUGGACGAAUCUUGCCAAUAGACAAGUCUUGGAUUGCUUCCGAGGGGUCUUUAUCUCCUACAUCAAUUGGCAAUUGCUCUACUUGCGAGCCGUUAGAUUCAUCAAACUUCACAUCUACCGUUUCUUCAACCUUUCGGGUGAAAUUGUUGUAGACACGGUAAGUGUGAGAGUUUGAGCCAUAACCAAGUAGGUAACCUUCAUGAGACUUAGGAGCAAAUUUAGAACGACGAUGCUUAUCAAGAAUGUAGCACUUUGAGCCGAGUACUCGAAAGUAUCCAACUUGGGGUUUGUUACCGGUGAGGAGCUCGUAUGCCGUCUUGCCGAGUAGCUUGUGAAGAUACAAGCGAUUUGUUGCAUGACAAGCCGUCUCAACCACUUCCGCCCAAAAGUGCUUCGGCGUCUUGUACUCAUCAAGCAUCGUUCUCGCCAUUUUGAUGAGCGUCCGGUUCUUCCUCUCAAUAACUCCAUUUUGUUGAGGUGUGUACGUAGCCGAGAACUCAUGUGAAAUCCCUUCUUCGUCAAGAAAGAUGUCCACAUUUGUGUUCUUGAACUCCGUUCUAUUGUCGCUUCGAACCUUCUUGAUCUUCACUUAAAAUUGAUUUUGGGCCUUCCUAGCGAAGUUCUUGAAGAUCUUUUGAACCUGCGAUUUAUCAUCGAGAAAGAACACCCACGUAAAUAUUGAAAAAUCAUCAACUAUAACUAGACCAAAAGAAUUUCCACCGAGACUUUUGUAGGCGUUGGGACCAAAAAGAUCCAUGUGAAGUAGCUCGAGUGGCCUCCUUGUGGUCAUGAUGUUCUUCACGUGAUGCCUCCCUCCAACCUGUUUACCUGCCUGACAAGCGCUGCAAAGUCUAUCCUUAUCAAAUAUGACAUCGUUAACACCAAGGAUAUGAUUUCCUUUAAUAAGCUUGUCAACGUUUCACAUGCCCACAUGGCCUAAUCGUCUAUGCCAUAACCAGCCUUUAGAGGAUUUAGCGAUGGAGCAAGUUCUAGGUUGAGCCUUUUUAGUGAAAUCAACAAUGUAUAGAUCACCUCUACGUAUACCGGUAAAGACCAUUUUAUGAUUAUCUCUACGAAACACUUGGCAAUCUACUUUAGUAAAUAUGACAUUUAAACCGAAAUCAGCAAGUCUAGAUACUGAAAGUAAAUUGUAUCCAAGAGAUUCAACGAGCAUGACAUUUUGUAUGGAGGUAUCAUGUGAUAUGGCUACCUUACCGAGGCCAACCACCUUACCCUUUGAGUUGUCACCGAAGGUGACAUACUUUCGAGGGCCGUCAUUUUCAGCAAGCUCACGAAACAUAUCUUUAUCUCCGGUCAUGUGAUCGGUACAUCCACUAUCAAGAACCCAUUCCUUUCCUCCUGCCAUGUAUCCCCGAAGAUUUUCCAUAAGACCAAAGUGUCUUAUUGCAUCAUCAAGAUCAAAGUCACUAUCAUCAUCCUCAUCAUAGUAUCCAUGUUCAACAUCAUCAAGUGGUGGAUCAAAUCCUAGAGAGGGUGAUUCGUUAGAGUGAGUUUGACAAUGAUCUUCUUUAUGAAUUUUAAUAGCUUCGGAAAUAAUAUCACUAAUAAUUCCAACAUCUCCUUUGGCACGCAUAAGGUUUGUAAGCUCAAAUAGACAAUCACCAAACAUAGGAUCACUGGAAUUCAUCUUACUCAAGGCAAUAGACUUAUGGAGAAUUUCAUCUAGAUUUUUCAAGGAAUAAUUUGGAAAAUGUUCCUCAAGAAAUUUCCAUAUGGUGUAGGCACACUUAAGAGUAGGCAAACACCCAAUCAAGUUUCUAGGUAAGCCUCUAGUGAUAAGUUUAACAGUUCUAAGAUUGUGAAUCAUGUCAAUUGACUCAUCAAGGGUAGGAUGCAUAGGAUCAACAUGAGGUGCACAAGGGCUAGCAAUGUACUUGUUCAAAUGAUAUUCAUUGAAAAUCACAAGCAUCUCAUUUUUUCACUCAUGAAAAUACUCUCCAUAAAGUAUAGGCACUCUAUGUCUAAGACUACCCAAAGUAGACUCAUCCAUCUUCCUCCAAUGGUGUUUAAACGAAGGCAAUGGAGACCAAAGCUCUGAUACCAAUUGAAAGGAUCGCGAAGAGGUGUCUAGAGGGGGGGGGGUGAUUAGACACUAAGUGAGAAAAGGUGCAGUUUUUAAAUUCUUUAAGUUGAAGUGGAGUUUUGGCACAAGAUUAACAAUCACAACACAUAUCAAGCAAGCAUGCAAAGAGUAUAUGAGCAGCGUAAAGUAAAGCAUGCAACUUGCAAGAAUGUAAAGGGAUGGGAUUGGAGUGUGCAAACGCAAUUUGGAGACACGGUGAUUUUUGAGACGUGGUUCCGAUAGGUGGUGCUAUCGUAAAUCCACAUUGAUGGAGACUUCAACCCACGAAGGGUAACGGCUGCGCGAGUCCACGGAGGGCUCCACCCACGAAGGGUCCACGAAGAAGCAACCUUGUCUAUCCCACCAUGGUCGUCGCCCACGAAGGACAUGCCUCACUAGGGGUAGAUCUUCACGAAGUAGGCGAUCUCCUUGCCCUUACAAACUCCUUGGUUCAACUCCACAAUCUUGUCAGAGGCUCCCAAGUGACACCUAGACAAUCUAGGAGACACCACUCUCCAAGAAGUAACAAAUGGUGUGUUGAUGAUGAACUCCUUGCUCUUGUGCUUCAAAUGAUAGUCUCCCCAACACUCAACUCUCUCUCACAGGAUUUGGAUUUGGUGGAAAGAAGAUUUGAGUGGAAAGCAACUUGGGGAAGGCUAGAGAUCAAGAUUCAUAUGGUAGGAAUGGAAUAUCUUGGUCUCAACACAUGAGUAGGUGGUUCUCUCUCAAAAAAUGAGUGCUGGAAGUGUCGGCAUAUUCUGAUGGCUCUCCCCACGAAUGAAGAGUGGGUGGAGGGGUAUAUAUAGCCUCCACACAAAAUCUAACCGUUACACACAACUUACCAAUCUCGGUGGGACCGAAUUGAGAAACUCGGUCGGACCGAUUUAGCAAAUCAUGUGACCGUUAGGAUUUUUGGUGGGACCGACAUGCAACUCGGUAGGACCGAUAUGGUUAGGGUUAGGGCAUAACGUAAUCUCGGUGAGACCGAUUACACAAGCUCGGUGGGACCGUGACUAGAGAGUUGGUCAGGCAAACUCGAUGGGAACGAUUCGCUCAUCUCGGUUGGAUCAAAAUGUUACGAAGAGGAACAGAGAGUUUGCAUUGUAAUCUCGAUAGUACCGAUUACUCAAACUCGGUGAGACCGAUUUUGGUAAUGGACAUACACAGAGAGAUUACAAUCCCAUCUCGGUGAACCGAGAUCCCUAUCGGUGAGGCCGAUUUGCCUAGGGUUUGUGGCAGUGACUAUGACAUCUGAACUCGGUGGCGCCGGAUAGAAAGAAUCGGUGGGGCCGAGUUGGACUUUUGGUUUGGGACAUAUAUGGAUAUGAGAAGGUAGUUGAAGGCUCUGGAGCAUAUCACUAAGCACUUUGAGCAAGCAAGUCAUUAAGCAACACCUCAUCCCCUCUUGAUAGUAUUGGCUUUUCCUAUAGACUCAAUGUGAUCUUGGAUCACUAAAAUAGAAAAUGUAGAGUCUUGAGCUUGGAGCUUGAGCCAAUCCUUUGUCCUUAGCAUCUUGAAGGGGUUCCACAUCCUCUAGUCCAUGCCACUUAAUUGUUGAACUCAUUUGAAACAUACUAGGUAAAAGUGUUAGUCCAACAAGAGAUAUGUUGACAUUAAUUACCAAAAUCACCCAGGGAGCACUUGUGCUUUCAACAUCACCAUGAGAUGCAUUGGAGAAGUUUACCACAAUGAUCUCAAGGAUACCAGAUUUUUGGGCGCCGAGAUGAGCAAUGGGAGAUGAUUAGCAUCAGGAAAGAUAGAUCUAUUGCAACUUUCAUCCAGGAGUUAAACCAGCACAUUCGUCGCCAGGAGAACCAGAUGUGUGCAGGCAUGAUAGAUCUGAACAAGGCAAUGACCAGGAUCACGGAGCUGGAGGAAGAACUCAAGUCCACACACGAUGGAUAUGAGGAGGAAAUCAUAACAUUAUUGGAGAAGAAUGAUUACCUGAUAAAGAAGAUCGAAGUAUUCAUGGGAGACCCCGCGCCAAGAGGAGAUGACGAUGAUUCCACUUGCCUGGAGAACUACAUCAUCAUCAACGACACCGACUCGGACCCUGAUGAUAGUGAUGAUGACUUUGUUGAUGAAGCUGGAGCAGAUAUCAUGGAAUCUUCGACCGAUCAAUUUUUCUAGUCGACCACCCUAACAGUAGUAGUAUUCCCCCAUGUAUAUAGUAUAGUCUGAGAACUUUUGUAACGAUAGUUAGACCGUUGUAUGCCCUUGUUUGGAUUGAUUUAAGUGAUAUAAUUGUGUUUGUCUCAUGUGCAGAUGGGUAGUGUUUUCCCUCUAGAUCUCAUUCUAUUCUAUUAUCUCACCCUUUCUAACCCCCAGAUGUCUCCGAGACGCGACAAUGGAUUUGCUUUCUCACCGGAGCUCACUCAGUUGAUCCUGCAGUAGAAUGCAUUGAUGUAGAUACUAGUCCAGAAUCAGAAUCAGGGGAGCAACAACAACAAUAACAACAACCCACCACCACCACCACCUGUUGAUCACUUAGCCCGUUUCUUGAGGCUCAAUCCGCCGGUGUUCUCUAGUAGCACCGAGCCGAUAGUUGCAGAUGAUUGGAUCCGCAAGAUUGGAAGGGAGUUGACCACUACAGGAUGCAAAGAUGCAGAGAGAGUGCGGUUUGCCGCGCAUCAGCUUGAUGGACCCGCAGCAUCAUGGUGGGAGAAUUUCAUAGCCACUUACCCCAUCGACAGUGUUACAUGGGAUCAGUUUCAGCAGGCUUUCCGUACUACCCAUGUUUCACCAGGAGCUAUGGCCAUGAAGAAGCAUGAGUUUCGCAACUUGCGACAAGGAGGACGAACAGUUAGCCAGUAUGUGGAUGAUUUCAGUAAGUUAGCACAUUAUGCCCCAGAUGACGUUGCUACGGAUGCAACUAAGCAGGUGAAGUUUCUGGAAGGACUAAAUGAUGAACUGAGCAUGCAGUUGAUGGUGGAAACCUUCAGCAACUACCAGGAGUUGGUAGAUAGAGUUCUCAUGAUUGAAGGGAAGCAGCAGCAUAUUGAUAACCGUAAGAGGAAGUAUGGACAGGGGAAGUACAAUUCUGGAGCUCAGCAGAAGCCUCGUUUUACCCCGAACUCGGGAGGACCAUUUCAGCAUAACCAUGGAGGUCACAACCACAAUGGAGGAGGUUCGCACAACCAUAGUGGCCCCAAGAAUGGGAAUGGUAAUGGAGGAAGCAACAGAUAGAACCGUUCCAACCCAGCGACACCAGCUCGGAAGGAUCUGAGCCACAUUACUUGCUACCAAUGCCAGAAGACUGGACAUUAUGCCAAUGAAUGUCCUGAAGCUAAGAAUGGAAAUGGAAAUGGAAGCUUUGGGAAGAAGCCUAACCCUUUCAACAAGGGACAGGUGAACCACGUUAACGUGGAGGAGGUCUAAGCACAGCCAGAUGCAGUAAUAGGUAAGUUUUUGGUUAAGUCAUUUACUGCAAUCAUUCUUUUUGAUACUGGUGCAUCGCAUUCAUACAUAUCAAGGGGAUUUGUGGAUAAGUAUAAACUGCCAACCCAAGCCCUUAGGUCGCCCAUGUUAGUAACCUCGCAAGGAGCAGAGUAUAUGGCUAGUCUAUCGUGUGAUCGGUUACCAUUAAGGAUUGGUAACUACGUGUUUCCUUUAGACAUAAUAGUAUUGGAGUCACAAGGACUAGAUGUGAUAUUAGGCAUGGAUUGGUUAUCAAAGUAUGGAGGGAACAUUGAAUGCGCCAGUAAGUCGAUUUUUCUCACCACCCCAGAAGGAAGAAGGAUCAAGUAUGUAUCCCGGCAUGUGCCGAAGAGGACUCAAGUGAAUUCCUUAUCAGGAGUUGUACAGGAGGAAGUACCAGUGGUGAAGGAUUUCCCUGACGUAUUUCCAGAAGAGUUGCCAGGCAUGCCACCGGAUAGAGACAUUGAGUUUUUGAUUGAGAUUUUGCCAGGCACGGGGCCAAUAUCUAAGAGACCGUACAGGAUGCCCGCAAACGAUUUGGAGGAAAUUAAGAAGCAGAUUAAGGAGUUACUGGAUAAAGGCUAUUGUCGGUGUCAAAACCGGCGGACCUCGGGUAGGGGGUCCCGAACUGUGUGUCUAGGCGGAUGGUAACAAGAGACAAGGGGCACGAUGUUUUACCUAGGUUCGGGCCCUCUUGAUGGAGGUAAAACCCUACGUCCUGUUUGAUUAAUAUUGAUGAUGUGGGUAUUACAAGAGUAGAUCUACCACGAGAUCAAGGAGGCUAAACCCUAGAAGCUAGCCUAUGGUAUGAUUGUUGUUAUUCUGUCCUACGGACUAAAGCCAUCCGGUUUAUAUAGACACCGGAGAGGGCUAGGGUUACACAGAGUCGGUUACAAUGGUAGGAGAUCUACAUAUCCGUAUCGCCAAGCUUGCCUUCCACGCCAAGGAAAGUCCCAUCCAGACACGGGACGAAGUCUUCAAUCUUGUAUCUUCAUAGUCUUGGAGUCCGGCCGAUGAUGAUAGUUCGGCUAUCCGGACACCCCCUAGUUCAGGACUCCCUCAGUAGCCCCUGAACUAGGCUUCAAUGAUGAUGAGUCCGACGCACAUGUUGUCUUCGGCAUUGCAAGGUGGGUUCCUCCUCCGAAUAAUUUAUAGAAGAUUCUGAACACCAGGAUAGUGUCCGGCUCUGCAAAAUAAAUUCCACAUACCACCAUAGAGAGAAUAAUAUUUACACAAGUUCAAUCUGCUGACGUAUUUUGUGGCGUGUCAUCACACCACAACCAAGCUUUUACUCAAAUCAUCUUUAUUAUACCACCUCAGCGCGUUUAGCGAAGCGGUUUCCUUGGCACGUUGUCGAAGCAGAGAUCGUGUUCCCCUUAUUCCGGGAUUCCCUUCAAUACGGAUGUGGGUAACUCAACCGCGCCAUUGAUUACGGCGCUUGGGAGAUAAGCGAGUUUUACCAGGCCGGUGGGGACGCAUAGUUUCGUCCGCCCAUAUAUAAGGGGAUAAGGAUCCAUCUUUUUACCUACGCCUUCUUCCUCCUUUGCUUAUCCAUCUCCGUGCACCCGAGCUCCAGCGCCCAAGUCCGCACAUCUCACCUCGACCUUCUCCAGCCAUGUCCGGAGCGGGAGGCAAGUGGAUGGCCACCUCUGUUAUGGAGGGACACAUCAAGAAGCUGCGCGACGACGGAUAUCUGUCCAGCGACAUCGCGCAUCGGCUGCCCGACGAGGGGCAGCUCAUCCCCACCCCUAGGCCCCAUGAGAGGGUGGUAUUUCUUCCUCACUUCCUCCGCGGACUGGGCUUCCUGCUCCAUCCUUUCGUUCGGGGGCUCAUGUUCUACUACGGCCUGGAUUUCCAUGAUCUGGCCCCGAAUUUCAUCCUCAACAUCUCGGCAUUUAUCAUCGUGUGCGAGGCUUUCCUCUGUAUCCAGCCCCACUUCGGCUUGUGGCUCAAGACCUUCAGUGUCAAGCUGAAGGUUGUGAAGGGCAACCAAGCGGAGUGCGGAGGCUCCAUGGUGGGCAAGAUGCCCAACGUUACUUGGCUCGAGGGCACCUUCGUUGAAACCAUUAAGGGGUGGCAAUCGGGGUGGUUCUACAUCACCGAGCCGCGUGACCCUAAAUGGGCAGCGGCCCCCGAAUUCAGAUCUGGCAUCCCCAUACGGCUCACCUCCUGGAAAGAGAGUGGCCUGACAUGGGGUGAUUCGGAGGAGCUGACCGGACUCCAAGCCUGCAUCCAAAAGCUAGUGAACAAAAAGCUCAAGCUUGUCAAUGUAGUCCAGGUCAUGCUCAUCCGCCGGAUUCUCCCGUGCCAGCAACGGGACUUCAAUAUGUGGGAGUUUGAUCCGGCAAAGCACCAGACCUUGAGCAGGCUCUUCGACACUACGUACGAAGAGGCCUGGAGGGUGCUGUUCAAGGGCGCCGAGGCUCCCGCAUCCGCUACCGAAGAUCGCGGAUUCCGCUCGCAGCGUCAGGCUGACGAGGUAAACGAUUUUACCCUUUACGGGACACUUGUUUUCCAUAGUUUGACUCUAUGCGGGAUCUAAACUCCCUCUCCUUUGACAGGACUGGUUGAAGAAGGCCGAGCAGACUAACUGUCCGGCUCCUUUGCCAGAAGGCCCAGAGGACGUCCGCUUAACGGGGCUGCUGGUUCCGGCACCCCAUGUGGUGCCGGAGAAGAAGGCCAAGAAGAAGGCCACGGGCACUCAAAAGAGUUCCCGUUUUCAGGUGUCAUCGGACUCAUCGUCCGAUGACUCUGAGGCGGGCUCCUCCCAUGAAGGCGAGGAGGAGAAAGAGGCCUCUCCCCCAGCGGGGGGAGGGAAGAAGAGGAAGGCCUCCCCAACGAGGAAGGCCGAAGGGUCCAAGAAGGGAAGGACUCUUCCCCUGGACUGUUCUGCCAACGUCGGCGAUGACGACGAGGAUUGGCCUUCAAGGGCCAAGCCCCUGGCGAGAUCGUAAGUAUCCGAACUCCUGAAUAACUUCAUGAUUUUUCUUUUCACCACAUGGUGUCUUUCUAAUGCCGCAUGCAACCCCGCAGUCCGCCCAAGGAUGAUCUUCCCGCUUCGUCGAGCGGGUCCUUGGGUGCGUCAGAUAUGGAUUCCCUUCCGACCGCCUCCACCCCCGCGAUGCCGACGAUGGCAAGGUGGGAUCCCGAGAAAGGACCCGCCAGGAGGAGGAGGCCCCGGAGGUGCCGCAAGGCAACCUCCCGGACUUUGCACUGGACUCCGCACCGGAACCUGCAGUGGUUCCGAAGUCCGGCGGGCGGCCCCUUCGUAAGAAGGGCAAGACCGUGACACCGUCGGCCUCCGUCGAACCAGAGGCGCCGGAUAACUUACUGGAGGCGCUCAACGGCGCUUCCAUCAAAGAAGAACACCGCACUGUUAUGAGUGCGGUGAUUCAGAAGGUUCAGCUUGCCAAGAGCGGGCUGACCGAAGCCUGCAGCAGCCUUCUAACAGGCUUUGAGGUAAGAAGUUUAAUAUAUGUAAAAUAGUACAGCAUAGACAGUAGCCCCUGAUGCUCGGUUCGUUGUUCGGAAAGAAAAGCCGGAUUGAGGAUCUAAAUAGAUAUACGCAGGAGUCAUAAAAAAUAUGUCAAUAUGGGAUUGCAGGCUGCGCUGCUGACCUCUGUCGCACUGACUGUGGAGGUCAAUGCUUUGAAGCAAAGCCUCGAGCGGUCCGAGAACGAGCUCGGCCAUGCCAAGAAGCAGCUCGAGGACAAGGAAGGUGAGUAACACUUUAUUAAAGUUGUACCUUACAGAAAAGGAUUUGGUUGCAAAAAAUGACAAGAAUAACGUGGGUAUUGCAGGGGCCACGAACGAGGUGGCGACCCUGAAGGAAGCGAUGUCCGCGGCCGAAUGUAAUGCAGCCGCGGAGCGCACCGAGCGAGAGAAGCAGGAGGCGCGGGUGGCGGAGGUACAACAAGAGAUCCAGGUUCUCAUUGAAAAACAUGAGGGUUUGGAGCGCGACUCUAAGACUCGAGAGUCCGAGCUUGCAUCGGCUCUUGAGAGUGCCAAAGCCGCUAAGGCCGAAGCCCACAAGGCCCUCCAAGAAAUUGAGGCGUUGAAGAAAAUAGCGGCGAGUAAGGCAUUUUUCAUGCAAAGCAAGCAUGUGAAUGUGAAUUACUUAUCACUUACCCGAAUUCAGAGUUCUCCAGGAGCGUUCGCAGAUCUGCCCCGCGGCGUGUCCGAUGCUACCGCAUUCUAUAGGGCCAAGGAGGGGAGCUCGACGGAGAAGGUCUUCUGGUCUCAGUAUGCUAAGGCCGGACAUCCGGUGCCCCUUAGCGACCAGCUGAAGCAGCUGGUCGAGCUCCACAAGGUGGCCGAACAGGCCAUGAAGGGCCUCAUAGUUCGGCUGUGGCCUAGGGAGGCCAUGCCUGGGAGCUACUUCGGCCUAGUGCGGCGGCUGGUGGAUGCGUGUCCGUGGGUUGAAGUCAUCAAGCACUCCUCCUGUAUUGAAGGUGCCCGUCGGGCCCUUGCCCGCGUGAAGGUGCAAUGGGGCAAGAUGGAUGCUGAGAAGCUUGUGACGGACGCGCCGCCGCCGGGCAAGGAGUAUCGCAUGCCCGAGAUGUAUUAUAAGAGUGUCCUGAAGGGUGCCCACAUUAUUGCGGGUGAGUGCUCCAAAGAUGUAAUAUUUGAGUAGACUCGCAUUUUGUUAUCCUGUGCGCUGAAAACUUUGUUCAUAUGCGCUAAGCAACACUUGUUAAUUUAAAAUAUUACCUUCUGUGCAGCCGUUUAUCAAAUCUGAGAGAUGGCAAGUCGUCGGCUUCGGCCCCCAUGCCACGAGUGCUGGGGUGUUCGGGAUAAAUUUGAGCACUCUUGUUCCCAUCUUUGGGUCCAUCUAGGGAGGCGCUCAACACAACGAACAAGGCAACCAGACUUAUAAUGCUUGAACACUCUCACUUAGCCAUAGAAUUCUAUAAUUUUAAAUUUCGGUGAAGCCCCUAGUGUUCGGAAGACCGAAUUCGGGGCGCUAUCCACGCCUGGGCCGGACAAAAGCCGGUUCCUCUCUCUAAGCGGCAUAAGUCUUUAGGGACUCGAAAAAAACCUCUCGAACAGCGACCGACUCUCGCCUUAUCAUGAUGGUCAGUUUUAGUUUUCUUCACUGAGGCGCUCGCCCAGCUCAACUGGGGCGCAAUUGCAGUGGUUCUCCCAGUGCCACCUUAGCCGAUACAACAGAACGUAAGGUACCAAAACGUGGGAGCCGGGCAAACCCAACUAUUGACCCAAGACAUGAUUCAGAGCCGAUGCAUAUAAUGCUAUAAGUUCGGGGUGCCUCACUUGUGAAAGUGUUCGGACUUAUCACACCAUAAUAUGGGGAACUUAAGCCCCUGGUGUAUUUAGUCGUACCAAAGUGUACGGAUGCGACAUGUCAUAAAUUAACAUAUGUAUGAGAAAGUAAUGCAAUUAUAAGCAAAAAGUGAUGCAUUGUUUAUUCAAGAAGUACUGCCAUGAAUGCAGAACGAUACAAAUAGUGUGGUAAGCAAGGAAUGGGACUACUAAAGAUGUCCCCCUCCAGGGGUAGGCUGCGGGAUGGUGUAUAAAACAGAUUUAUUGCUCGUAAUGGAGACCACCUGGGUACUUGUCGUAGCCUUUCUCCUUCCCUGGCUGUUGCAUCGUGAGUUCGGCAGGUCUACUGCUGGACAGGGCCUCUGAUGAACGGAGUCCUGUGGGUAAAAAAAAUAAAAAGAGAAAUAAAAGAACGACACACUUGAGAGCCCCUGGUGUGGUUAAGCCGCAUUCUGGGCCUAUCGUGGUCGUGCCCCUCCCCCUAUGCCCAUGGUAUCUCCAAAGCAUAAUGAUGUACGCGAAGGACCAGUCUUGCAAUUUUGCAGGGGCUGGGGUUGGGGCCGCAUUGCUACGCGUGCUCGGAACAUGCCAGGUGGUCUUGUUGUAGGUUACUCCGGGUGCGUUUGGCUGUGUCCGGUCGUUUAACGGCCAGACUCGAGAAUUGCCUUAAGAGGCUGCACUGUACUUCUGCCGCGAGAGCCGUUGUAUGGUCCUCCGUUCGGAGAGAGCGUUCAGUGUUUCCAUUGACCGUGAUGACUCCUCUAGGGCCUGGCAUCUUGAGCUUGAGGUAUGCGUAGUGCGGCACCGCGUUGAACUUUGCAAACGCGGUACGUCCGAGCAGAGCAUGAUAGCCGCUGCGGAAUGGAACUAUGUCGAAGAUUAACUCCUCUCUUCGGAAGUUAUCCGGGGAUCCGAAGACCACUUCCAGUGUAACUGAGCCUGUGCAAUUGGCCUCUACACCUGGUAUGACGCCUUUAAAGGUCGUCUUUGUGGGUUUAAUCCUUGAGGGGUCUAUGCCCAUUUUGCACACUGUAUCCUGAUAAAGCAGGUUCAGGCUGCUGCCGCUGUCCAUCAGGACUCUGGUGAGGUGAAAUCCAUCAAUGAUUGGGUCUAAGACCAAUGCGGCGAAUCCGCCGUGGCGGAUGCUGGUAGGGUGGUCCCUUCGAUCAAAGGUGAUCGGGCAGGAGGACCAUGGGUUGAACUUCGGGGCGACUGGCUCCAUCGCGUAUACGUCCCUGAGUGCACGCUUCCGCUUCCGCUUCCUCUUGGGUAUGUGGGUUGAGUAUAUCAUGUUCACCGUCCGCACUUGUGGGGGAAACCCUUCUGUCCUCUAUUGUUCGACGGCCGGGUCUCUUCCUCGUCAUCGCUAUGCAGCCCCUUGUCAUUGUUUUCGGCAAUUAACUUGCCUGCCUGCUUGAAUACCCAACAAUCCCUGUUGGUGUGAUUGGCUGGCUUUUCGGGGGUGCCGUGUAUCUGGCACGAGCGAUCGAGUAUUCGGUCCAAAUUGGACGGACCCGGAGUGGUUCGUUUGAAUGGCUUUUUCCGCUGACCGGGCUUGGAGCCUCUGAAUCCGGCAUUUACUGCCGUAUCCUCAGUAUUGUCGCCGUUGACACGGCGUUUGUUCUUAUUGCGACGCGACCUGCCAUUGUGGUCCUUGGUAUCCAAACUGUCAGAAUUUUUGCUGAGGUUGUUACUGCGAGCUAGCCAGCUGUCCUCUCCCGCGCAGAAGCGGGUCAUUAGUGAUGUGAGGGCCGCCAUGGAUUUUGGCUUUUCCUGUCCCAGGUGCCGGGCAAGCCACUCGUCGCGGAUGUUAUGUUUGAAGGCUGCAAGAGCCUCUGCAUCCGGACAAUCGGCAAUUUGAUUUUUCUUAGUUAAGAACCGUGUCUAGAAUUGUCUGGCCGAUUCAUAUGGCUGCUGAAUUAUAUGGCUUAGGUCAUCAGCGUCUGGUGGUCGCACAUAUGUGCCCUGGAAGUUAUCAAGGAAUGCGGCUUCCAGGUCCUCCCAACACCCAAUUGAUUCUGCUGGCAAGCUGUUAAGCCAAUGCCGAGCUGGUCCUUUAAGCUUGAGUGGGAGGUAUUUGAUGGCGUGAAGAUCGUCACCGCGGGCCAUGUGGAUAUGAAGAAGAUAGUCUUCGAUCCAAACCGCGGGGUCUGUUGUGCCAUCAUAGGAUUCAAUAUUCACGGGUUUAAACCAUUCGGGGAUUUGAUGAUCCAUUACUUCAUCUGUGAAGCAUAGUGGGUGUGCGGCGCCUCUGUAUUGGGCUAUAUCACGACGUAGCUCAAGCGAGCUUUGUCUACUGUGUUCGGCCCUGCCGGAGUUGCUGUAUCCGGCACGACGGUAGUCGUCGCGCAUCGUGGGGCGCCCGCGCAAUCCGUAGAUCGAUCUUGAUUGUCUUGCCUUAUCCUCCAAUAUGUCUUGCAAGUCCGGUGCAUUUCCCCGUGGCUUUGUGAUUUUCGAGCGAUGCCGGGGUACGGCCUUAGUGGAGGGCCUGGAGGCCUCUCUAUCGCAGCCACGAGGUGGCCGGUCGGUCGUAUUGUGCGCCGGUGAUGUGGGUUUAUAUGCUUCCUCCUCUAAUCGGGGUAGCAGCUUGCGUUUAGGGUAGCUUUUGGAGGGGCGUUCGUGCUCUUCGGCCGCAAGGACUUCGGUCCAUCUGUCGGCUAGCAGAUCUUGAUCAGCUCUGAGCUGUUGCUGCUUUUUCUUGAGGCUAUUUGCCGUGUCCAUAAGCCUGCGUUUAAAACGCUCUUGUUCGACGGGAUCCACAGGCACGACGAAUUCGUCGUCGUCGAGGCUUGCCUCGUCUCCCGAGGGAGGCAUGUAAUUAUCGUCCUCUACCUCUUCGCCUGCCGCUCUCUCGUGAGGGCUGGCUUCUCCGUCCUCCUGUGCUAAAUCUUGCUGGAGGGGGUUGUCGUUGGCACUGUCUGGGGUGUUAUUAUCUCCGGUGCCGGAAUCUCCAUUCUUGCUGUGGCGGGAUUUAGAGCGGCGCCGCUGACACCGGCGUUUAGGCUGUUUCUUGGAAGGAUCCUCCUCCGUUGUUCCAUCGCCAUUCCCAUCCUUUGGGGUGUCCACCAUGUAUAUGUCGUAUGACGAGGUGGUUUUCCAGUGCCCAGUAGGUGCUGGUUCUUGAUCGUCUCCGGCAUCGUCGUCCAUACCGUCGAUGUCUUCGGAGUCGUAGUCUAGCAUGUCGGUUAAAUCGUCGAUAGUGGCUACAAAGUGGGUGGUGGGUGGGCUUUGAAUUUCUUCGUUGUCCGCAUCCCAACCGUCCUGACCGUAGUCCGGCCAGGGCUCUCCUGACAACGAGAGAUACUUCAGUGAACUCAGGAUGUCGCCGAAGGGUGAGUGUUGAAAGAUGUCCGCAGCGGUGAACUCCAUGAUCGGUGCCCAAUCGGAUUUGAUUGAAGGGGGCGCGGGAGGUUCGGAGUCCGGCAAGGAGUCCGGCACCUGGUAGUCACGAGCUUCAGAAGGGACGAAAUCAGUAUUUGGCUCUAUCGCCAUAGAGGUUGCAGCCCCCGAGGCGGUGUCUAACCACCCAUCCUCGAUCUGCACAGCCUGCUCUGAAUCAAGGGCUGGAGCGGGCUCGUGUGCGGCCUCCAGGGCACUGUCCAGCAGCAGAGCUAGAUCGUGCCCAUCGUGACAGUGUGGCGCGCUCGGCUGUGGCUCGAAUCCGUCGAAGAUCAAGUCUCCACGGAUGUCAGUCGUGAAGUUCAGACUUCCAAAUCUGACCAGACGGCUAGGGGCCUACCUUUCGAUCUGAUCCAGAUGGCCAAACGAAUUGGCCCGCAGUGCAAAGCUGCCGAAUACAAAGAUCUGUCCGGGGAGAAAAGUCUCACCCUGGACCGCGUCGCUGUUGAUGAUCGAAGGAGCCAUCGCGCCUAUCGGUGACGAUACAGAGGAACUCUCGAUGAAAGCACCAAUGUCGGUGUCAAAACCGGCGGAUCUCGGGUAGGGGGUCCCGAACUGUGCAUCUAGGCGGAUGGUAACAGGAGACAAGGGGCAUGAUGUUUUACCCAGGUUCGGGCCCUCUUGAUGGAGGUAAAACCCUACGUCCUGCUUGAUUAAUAUUGAUGAUGUGGGUAUUACAAGAGUAGAUCUACCAUGAGAUCAAGGAGGCUAAACCGUAGAAGCUAGCCUAUGGUAUGAUUGUUGUUAUUCUGUCCUACGGACUAAAGCCAUCCAGUUUAUAUAGACACCAGAGAGGGCUAGGGUUACACAGAGUCGGUUACAAUGGUAGGAGAUCUACAUAUCCGUAUCCCCAAGCUUGCCUUCCACGCCAAGGAAAGUCCCAUCCGGACACGGGACGAAGUCUUCAAUCUUGUAUCUUCAUAGUCUUGGAGUCCGGCCGAUGAUGAUAGUUCGGCUAUCCGGACACCCCCUAGUCCAGGACUCCCUCAGCUAUAUUCGCCCAAGUUCAUCACCUUGGGGGUCACCAGUGCUUCUAGUGGAGAAUAAGGAUGGAUUGUUGAGGAUGGUUGUUGAUUAUCGAGGGUUGAAUGAAGUGACAAUCAAGAACAAGUACCCACUGCUGAUGAUCAAUGAUUUGUUUGACCAGUUGCAAGGAGCUAAAGUAUUUUCCAAGAUUAAUCUGCGAUUAGGAUACCACCAGUUGAAGAUUCGAGAGCAGGAUAUACAUAAGACAGCUUUUACCACAAGGUACGAGCUAUAUGAGUAUACCGUUAUGUCAUUUGGUCUGACUAACGCACCUGCCUAUUUUAUGAACAUGAUGAACAAGGUGUUUAUGGAGUUUCUGGAUAAGUUCGUCGUGGUGUUCAUUGAUGAUAUUCUGGUCUAUUCGAAUAAUGAAGAGGAGCAUAAGAAGCAUUUGCGUUUGGUACUUGGGAAGCUCAGAGAACAUCAGUUAUAUGCCAAGUUCAGCAAGUGUGAGUUUUGGUUGAAGGAAGUUGGAUUCCUCAGACAUGUUAUAUCUGGAGAAGGAAUAGCAGUAGACCCCACCAAGGUUGUCACUGUGACAAACUGGGAAGCACCCACGUCAGUUGGAGAGAUCCGGAGUUUUCUUGGACUCGCAGGAUACUACCAGAGGUUCAUUGAGAAUUUCUCGAAGAUUGCAAAGCCCAUGACUGAAUUGUUGAAGAAGGACACCAAAUUUAAAUGGACUGAGGAAUGUGAGGCCAGUUUCCAGGAGUUGAAGAAACAUUUGGUUACAUCAUCGGUGUUGAUCCUGCCAGUUCAGCGCAAGGAUUAUGAAGUAUAUUGCGACACUUCUCGUCAAGGACUUGGAGCAAUGCUUAUGCAGGAGGGAAGAAUUGUUUCAUAUGCCACACAAUAGCUUAAACCCCAUGAGUUGAAUUAUGCUACACAUGAUUUGGAGUUAGCAGCCGUAGUGCAUGCGUUGAAGACAUGGAGGCAUUUUGUCAUUGGAAACCAUUGUGAGGUGUACACGGAUCACAAGAGUUUGAAGUAUAUCUUCACACAGAAGGAGUUAAAUCUCAGGCAAAGGAGAUGGUUGGAGCUCAUUAAGGAUUAUGAUAUGAGGUUGCAUUAUCAUCCAGGAAAGGCUAACGUAGUAGCCGAUGCGUUGAGCCACAAGAGUCAUGUCAACACCCUCUUGAUUGGAGAAUUACCCAAGGAGUUAGCCGAGGAUCUUCGUGAGCUAUGUUUGGAGAUAGUCCCGAGAGGCUACAUAGCAGCAUUAGAGAUUCAGUCUACUUUGAUGGAUAAGAUCAGAGAAGCUCAGAAGACCGACAAGGAGUUUGCUAAGAUAAAGGAGCAGAUGAGCAAAGGAAAAGCUAAGGGAUUUCAUGAGGAUGAGCAUGAUACCGUAUGGUUUGAGGACCGCGUAUAUGUGCCUAAUGACCCGGAGAUCAGGAAGUUGAAUCUGCAGGAGGCCCAUGACUCGCCGUAUUCGAUUCACCCAGGAAAUACCAAGAUGUAUCUGGAUUUGAAGGACAGUUUCUGGUGGACCGGAAUGAAGAAGGAUAUUGUAGAGUAUGUAGCAGUUUGUGAUGUAUGUCAGAGAGUAAAGGCAGAGCAUCAGAAGCCAGCAGGAUUGCUACAACAUUGCCAAUACCCGAAUGGAAGUGGGAUAAGCUAGGCAUGGAUUUUAUCAUGGGAUUGCCCAGGACUCGCUCAGGCUAUGACUCGAUAUGGGUUGUAGUCGAUCGUUUGACGAAGGUAGCCCAUUUCAUCCCAGUGAAGACCGCUUACACCAGUGCUAAGUUGGCAAAAAUAUACAUGACCAGGAUUGUAUGUCUGCAUGGAGUUCUGAGGACCAUUGUAUCAGAUAGAGGGACCCAGUUUACCUCAAAGUUCUGGAAUCAGUUGCACGAAACUUUGGGUACCAGGAUAGAGUUCAGUACAGCCUUUCAUCCACAGACAGAUGGACAGACUGAGAGAGUCAAUCAGAUUCUAGAGGACAUGUUGAUAGCUUGUGCACUAGAUUAUGGAUCUAGUUGGGACGACAAUUUACCUUAUGCAGAGUUCUCUUACAACAACAGUU
rnacentral:lncRNA from 1 species